rnacentral:lncRNA from 1 species
CGGCGUUGCCGAACCGGUGGGGAGGCGGCCGAACCGGAGGAGGGGCGACCUCCACCCGCGAGUCAAGAACCGGCCCGGCAGGCUCCGGGGUCGGCGUCGGGGUGACGAAAACUGUGUAAGGGCCCAUCUUGCCGAUCACUGGAGGAGGUUUAGGGUCGGAGGCCUUGCUGAUGGACAUUGUAGCAACGAGUUCCGGUGGAAGGACGCGGAAGAUGAAGGGCUAAUUUGGAUUUGAAGAGCAGGACGCUCGUGCAGAGAAAGACAGAGAGAGAGAGUUGAGAGCAAGAGCAACUUUAGUUUCUUUUUUCGUACGUACUAUUGGUCAUUUCAUAGCAUGGGACGGAUGAGGAGAAGAUUUUUUAUCUUUUAUUUCUAUUUUAAAAAUAAAAUAAAAUAAAAAAGAAAAUUUUUAUCUUUCAUUUCAAUUUCUAAUCAAUUUCUAGAUUAAAAAUUUAUUUCAAAAUAAAAAAAUAAAAUUAUAUUACUAAACAGAUUUCUAUUCUAAAUAUAUUUUUAGAAUAUAAGUAAAGUAGUUAUCAUGUGCAUCAUCAUUAAUCAAACUUGCAUUAUCUUAUCUUUGAGUUUUAAUAAAUUGUCACAUCAUGUAAAAGUGUUUCUUUAUUUCAAGUUACAUCAUUACCCAAGGGAGAAAAUAAUUAUAUCUUUGAAAUUGAAAACUCUUCCUCUAUUUUUUAUUCAACAUAGUCUCUACUUUCUUUUUCUAAGCGCCAUCAUUUUUUGUUUGAUAAUGUUUGGCUGUUAGAGUAAUGAUUUGACAACUGGGAAGCCAAGGUGAGAAUUUAAGAGAAUUGUCAUGUUGUUAUUAAUAAAUUAUAAAUAAUUUUGUUAAUAAAAAUAAAAAUGUAAAAAAAAAUUCAAAUCAAUUUUCUAUUUCAAACUUGUUAUCGGGAAUAGAAAAAUACAAAAAAAAAAAAAAGAAUGAUUAUCAUAUGUGUUCUUAAAGGUACAUAGACCACUUUUAACCAAAGAAAAAAAAAACGAGAAUGUUAUGAAAUACAUGAAUGAAUAUUCAUUAUAUUCAUCUUAUCUAAUGUACUUAUUAUGGUACAUUUAUAUCAUACAUUCUAAGUACAUCUCCCUAUACAAUGAACGUUCAUGUUCCUUAUCAAGUACAUAUAUCAUUCGAUACAUUGAUAUUAAUGAUAAGUACAUUCUUGUUCUUUUAUAAAUAAGAGUUUAGUUUUGAUGUACAACAAUAUAGAACACAACAACAACAGCACAACAGUGAGAUACUAGAAAUAAUACUCUCUCCUCUAGCUUUCUCUACUAUCUCUAGUAUUCACUUGCUUUCUCUCAUCAAUCUCUUCUCUAUUAUAUAUUCGCAACGCAAUAUUUUACAACACGUUAUCAACACGAAGAUCUACCAACUGAGUAAGUAAUUUUUGCAAGGUGGGUAUUCUCUUUAUUAAUCAACUUAUACUUCAUCUUCUUCUAUCAAUUCUUUUCAUUUUUAUUUUUCUUGGCUUGAAGUCAUAUUUCAAAUCUAAAGGUAUCCUUCUGUUCCUGAAGUGGCAGUGGAUAUUAGAAAAUCCUUUUAAGUAAUUUAAGGAUUUUAUUUUGCAAGGAUUAUACGCAAAUUUUAUAAUACUUGACACCUGAAGUUGUCAAUAUAAAUGCAAAUGGAAAAUACCGAGAAAAAGGAAAAUGUUUAUUUGCUUGAUAGUGCAACAACACAUACUAUAUUUCGUAAUAGACACUUUUUCUCGAGUAUGAUAUUACGUAAGGCGCAAAUCCAUACAAUAUCAGGUUUUGUUCUGAUUAUUGAUGGUUUUGAGAAUGCCACAGUUAUUUUGCCAAAUGGCACAAUCUUGCAUAUUGAGAAUACGUUUAUGAGCAUUAGAUCAAAAAGGAAUAUGCUCAGUUUAAAAAAUAUACGCUAUAAUGGAUACCAUAUUAAGACUAUUUAUGAACAAGAUAGGGAAUAUAUUGACAUUUCCCCUUAUAAAAUGGGCUUGAAGAUUGUCCAUGAGAAGCUAGAAACUUUUUCUAUGGGUUUGUAUUGUGUCACCACAUCUUGGAGAUUGGUAAGCCCUUACCAGUUUGGAUUGUGGCAUGAUCGCCUUGGUCAUCCUGACGCUUCAAUGAUGCGUAGGAUAAUUUAAAAUACAAAAGAGCACCUUUAAAAAGAUAUAAAGGUAUUGUUGUCCAAAGAUUAAAAUUGUGAGGCUUGCUCACAAGGAAAGCUCAUUAUCAAACCUUCUAUAACAAAGGUUAAUCUUGAAUCUCUUUUAUUCUUGCAAAUAAUUCAGGGUGAUAUUUGUAGACCAAUACAACCACCGAGUGGAUCAUUUCGAUAUUUUAUGGUACUAAUUGACAUGUCUUGUAAAUGGUCUCAUGUUUACCUAUUAUCUAUGCGCAAUGUCACAUUUACACAUUUACUUGCGCAGAUUAUAAAGCUCUGAACAUAGUUCCCUGAUUAUCCAAUUAAGAGCAUAAGAAUGGAUAAUGCUGGUGAAUUUACAUCAAAGAGUUUUGAUAUAUAUUAUGCUUCACUCGGAAUCGAGGUUGAGCACCCAUUUGCAUAUGUUCAUACUCAAAAUGGAUUAGCAUAAUCCUUAAUCAAACGUAUCCAAAUCAUUGCUCGCACUCUAUUAUUGAGAACGAAUCUUAAUGAUACAGCAUGGAGUCAUGCAGUUUUGCAUGCGGCAGCUCUAAUAAGAUUACGCCUCACUGCUAGUCUUUUACAAUAUCCCAUUCAAAUGGUUCUUGAUUAUGAACUAGAUAUUUUGCAUUUACGCACCUUUGGUUGUGCAGUAUAGGUGCCUGUAGCACCGCCAAAAAGGAUGAAAAUGGGUCCCCAAUGCCAUUUGAGCAUUUAUGUUGGGUUUAAUUCACCAUCUAUCAUUAGGUUCUUAGAACCAACUACUGGUGAUCUUUUUACUACAAGAUUUGCAGAUUGUCAUUUCGAUGAGACUGAGUUUCCAUCAAUUGGGAUACCUGCAACUUUCAUGAUUGCAAAACAAAAACCAGUUAAGGUUUUCUCCUAGAAUGAGAAAAAUUUAUCUCAAUUAGACCCAAGGACUCCUGAAUGUGAAAACGAGGUGCAUCGCAUAAUCCAUUUGCAAGCUAUGGCCAAUAGACUUCCUGACUCAUUUAAUGAUGCUAUUAAGGUAAUAAAGUCUCAUAUUCCAGCUGCAAAUGCUCCAGCUAGGAUAGCUGUUCUUGAAGAACAGGCUAAAAUGGAUCAAAAUCCCUCACACUUGAAGCGUGGUAGACCGAUAGGAUCUAAAGAUACUGCUCCUCGAAAACAAAGGGGAAAUAAUCAAGAAUUCACUCCAGAAGAGCUUAGCGUUGUGCUAGCUCCCAAAUAACUUAUUGUCCUUAAAGAUGCACAAACCCAUAAAAGGAACACUAGCCCUAAGAAUACCGAGAAUUCCAUUACAUAUUGUAAUGAAAUUUUGGAUCGAAAUGAAAUCAUCAUUGAUGAUGCUUUUGCAUUCUCAGUUGCUCAUAAAAUUAUGGAUGAUGAUUGUGAGCCGCAAUCUAUUAUUGAAUGUCGUCAAAGGCAAGAUUGACCUCAGUGAGAGGAAGCAAUUAAAGCUGAAUUAGCUUCUCUAACUAAAUGAGAGGUUUUUGGACUUGUAACUCGUAUCCUCGAUAAUGUAAAACCCAUUGGAUAUAAAUGGGUAUUUAUCCGAAAACGAAAUGAGAAAAAUGAGGUUGUUAGGUAUAAAGCUCGACUUGUUGCCCAAGGAUUCUCCCAGAGACUUGGGAUUGAUUAUAAUGAGACAUAUUCACCUGUGAUGGAUAUGAUUAUAUUUCAUUUUCUCAUUAGCCUAGCAAUCUUUAAAAGAUUGGAAAUGCAUCUUAUGGACGUUGUGACGGCAUAUUUAUAUAACUCAUUAGACUCUGAUAUUUAUAUGAAAAUUCCCGAGGGAUUCAAAAUACCUUAAGCAUGCACUCCCCGCAAUUUAUUCUCAAAAAAAUUGCAAAGAUCCUUGUAUGGUUUAAAGCAAUCUGGUCGCAUGUGAUAUCAACGCCUAAGUUAGUACCUAAUUAAGGAAAUAUACAAGAAUGAUCCUAUCUACCCAUGCGUGUUUAUUAAGAAAUCAGAAAUCGGAUUUACUAUUAUAGCAGUUUAUAUCGACGAUAUAAAUUUAAUUGGAACUCUAGAAAAGUUAGCUAAAACUGUUAAGUAUUUGAAAAUGAAGUUUGAAGUUAAAGAUUUGGGUAAAACCAAACUUUGUCUUGGUCUAAAGCUUGAGCAUAAAGCAAAUGAAAUAAUUGUCCAUCAAUCAGCGUACGUUGAAAGAUUGCUUAAACGCUUCAACAUCGAUAAAGCUCACCCAUUGAGCACCCUUAUGGUUGUAAGGUCUCUAGACCCCCAAAAGGACCCAUUUCGUCAUAAAGAAUCAAAUGAAGAGAAACUUGGUCUUGAAGUACUAUAUCUCAAUGCAAUUAGGGCUUUGAUGUACUUAGCACAAUGUACGAGACUAGAUAUUGCUUUUGCGGUAAAUUUAUUGGCACGUUUUAGUUCUAAGCUAACUCAGAGACACUAGAAUGUAGUUAAACAUAUUUUCCGUUAUCUCCGAGGAACCAUAGAUUUUGGAUUAUAUUAUUCCAAGGAUUCCACUAACUUUGAUUUAGUUGGAUAUGCUGAUGUUGGAUAUAGAUCUGAUCCACAUAAGGCUCGCUCUCAAACCGAGUAUUUAUUUUGUUAAACGGCACUGCUAUUUCUUGGCGUUCUACGAAGCAAUCGCUAGUAGCUAUAUCUUUUAACCACUAUGAGAUUAUUGCUUUAUAUGAAGCUGUAAGAGAGUGUGUUUGGUUAAGAUCCGUUAUAACACAUAUUCAUAAUUCUUGUUACUUAGUACCGGUUACAAAUUCUCCCACUAUAAUUUAUGAAGAUAAUGCUACUUAUGUUGCCCAAGUUAAAGGAUGAUAUAUCAAAGGUGAUAGGACCAAGAAUAUCUCGCCAAAAUUUUUCUAUACUCUUGAAUUCCAAGAAAGUCGACAAAUUGAUGUUAAACAAAUUCGAUCCAUAAAUAAUCUUGCAGAUCUUUUUACCAAAUCAUUACCAACAUCAACUUUUGAGAAAUUAGUAUAUGGCAUUGGUAUACGGCGAGUUCAUAAGAUGCAAGAUUGAUUAGCCCCAGCAGUAGUUACAUGGCUCAAUUGAGGGGGAGAUAUUAUGAACUGUGCAUUGCAGCAUUGAUAUGCGGCGAGUUCACAAGAUGCAAAAUUGAUUAACUCCAGUAAUGGCUAUAUAUGCAUUGCACUAUUUUUUCUUUUUGUCCAUUUUUUUCCCAUAGGGUUUUUCCGGCUUAAAAUUUUUAACAAGGCAAUUCAUGCAUCCAUAAAAGGGAUAGAUCAUAACAUUUGUGCUCUGCACUCUUUUUCCCUUUUGUCCGGUUUUUGUCCCACUGGGUUUUUCCAGCUUAAGGUUUUUAAUGAGGCAAUAUCAUUCGAUGCACAUUUAUAAUGAAUACAAUGAAUAUUCAAGGCGGAGUGUUAUAAAAUACAUGAAUGAAUAUUUAUUAUAUUCAUAUUAUCUAAUGUACUUAUUAUGGUACAUUUGUAUCAUACAUUCUAAGUACAUCUCCCUAUACAAUGAACGUUCAUCUCCCUUAUCAAGUACAUGUAUCAUUUGAUACAUUGAUAUUAAUGAUAAGUGCAUUCUUGUUCUCCUAUAAAUAUGAGUUUAGUUUUGAUGUACAACAAUAUAGAACACAACAACAACAGCACAACAGUGAGAUACUAGAAAUAAUACUUUCUCAUCUGACUUUCUCUACUAUCUCUGGUGUUCACUUGCUUUCUCUUCUCAAUAUUUUCUCUAUUAUAUAUUCGCAACGCAAUAUUUUACAACAGAGAAAAACAAAAUAGACAGUUAGUUUUGAACUUGGGACGACUGGUAACAAUAUUUGAGUGAGAGAGAGAGAGAGGGGGGGUAAAUACCCUUUUUAAGUUUGCACUUGAGAUCAGUUUACCUUCUUUUGAAUUUAAGUAUGUUAUAAAAUUGCUUCGUCUAAAUUAUGGGAUGUAAAAUUUAGAGAUAUUCUUAUCAACAAGGAAAGAAAAACUUCCUCUCCAAUUGUGGGGAUAGGGCAUACAAGUAUUAACACGUUAAAAUAAGGAACACAUCCAAAUUGGACGCUGGAUUACCGAACUACCACUGGAAGCCCCUAUCGAAAGCUAGCUUUCUAUUGUUUAGACGCACAUUUCACACAGUGUCUAGAACCAGCACAUCUAAGCAAUACCCUUGGUUCCAGACACUAUGUGAUUUACCUUCUUGUUGUCACUUUCACAACUCCCGCCCAUCAAUUUCUUUUUACCUUUUUUUCUUGGGAUUUAAUCACUUCUACACGAGAAAUUGGAAAUAAGAAGUGGACAUUGCCGUAAUUAUGUAGAAGAAUAUUCUCCCAAUUAGCUUAUUAAUAUAUUUGUCCUUUCCAAUUAGUUAUUUCAUCUUAUCUAGGUUAUUAAGAUAUUCUCCAUUCUAUUUGGUUUAUUUCUUAUUUGCCAAUUCUUUUCUUUGUAGGCAAGUCAUUGAUACUGUGUUUAGCUUAGGGUUCACUCCGCUGAUUUGGUGAUUGAGAAUAUAUUGAUACUAGUGUUGCUUUUCUUCCCAAAUUCUAUCCUUCUCCCCUAAUCCUUAUGGUCUGUCCUUUCAAAUCUCUCAUGAAUUUUCCCUAUUAUCUCUUCCUCUGAUUACUUACUUUUAUUCUCCAUUAUCGAGAAACAAACACACUUGACUUUUGCAUCGAUUGAGAAAGAACAUACUUUUUGGGAAAUUAUCUUUUAGAAAAAUAUUUUUUCAUUUUAAGGUUAGAAAAUUCAUUUUACCAACUUUAAGCAUACAUAUUUUUUUACUGUAGAUAUUUUUUCAUUAACUGAUCAUUUUCAGAAAACCAAAUAUGUAAAAAUCUAAAGAACUAACUUGUAGGAAAUUUUUCGCUCAAACAACCGCACCUUAAAUUGGUUCUUCAGUAAUCUCACAAUCAUUCUUGAUGUGCUACCACUUAACAAGAGAGAAGUUCUUAGGUAUAUGCUUCUGCUGAGGUUAAUAAUGUUUGUACUCCAUUAUUAGUUGAGUAGAUGGUAAUCUCUGGAAACAUUUAAAAGUUUCUGUAUAGCAAGAUUGUUAUCGUGAAAUCGAACACCAAAAAGAAAAAGAAAAAUGGAUCAUGUAGAUUGUCUAACUUUUAAAAUUAUGUAAUUGAUUCGAGCCAGUAAAUAAUCUAUUAGGAAAUUAACUCUUAUGAUUUUUCAAAAAAAUUAUUGUGAAAAAUUAUAUAACCUAAAUUAGAGAAGCUAUUUCUUUAAAGCUAAUGAAGGCGUCGGCUUUUGUGGAAUCACAUCUCAAGUCUCAAGAGUCGAGAUUGCUCCACGUAAAACUUGUGUACUUGCAUUGGUCAAUACUUGUAAUCCGGCGUUCAGAUUAACACAUGUUCAUCUACGACCAAAUAUGCCUCUUGAUCUUACAACACUUGAUUUGUCUAUCACAAUUUCUAGAGAUUUUUCAGUCUCUCCUUUGGGGCUGAGUCACACGAGCACAUAAGCACUUAUUUGUAACUUGCAUGCACCUUGCUAUACAUGUGCAUUGUGGAUUAUUUACUUUUCUUGACGAAAAAAAUGUUCCAACUCCAUGGAACUUGAAGCCUAGUGGGUUGGGCUUGUGUCAAGCCCAUAAUGGGCAGCCUGGUCUAAAACUUAACACCUCCCACUCAUACAUAAUGAGCUUGACAAAAUCUCUAUAUCACUGUAGCUUAUAUAUAAUAUCUACCAUUCUAAAGUCUUUACGUAUCAAUUCAUACGGUUGUAUUGGCCGUAGGACUAGCAAGUAAUAUUAAGUUUACUAUGUGUUGGUUGAGGUUAUAUAGAAGCUACCAUAAAUAAUCUCGCUAUACCUUAAAUCUAACUUGUUGAAUUGGUCUGAGCAACUUCAAUUCCCCGGAAAAGCAUGCUUAACUCUUUCACAUGUUCACAAUUAUGUCAUGAGUCUCAUGACCACGUAAGGAAGACAUGACUGGCUAGCUGGUGAAUCCAUGUACCAAAAAUAUUACAGAUUAGUCUUCCUUUCCCAAUUGAAUCUCUUCAUCUCAACCUAGCUGUUUUCCUAACAUGUUCCUAAUAUAUGGAGGAAACAUGCUAAAAUAGAAGACACUAGAUCAAGAUUUCAAAACACAGUUGAAAGUCUUAAGGGUACUAAAGAGGUACUGGUAACCUCUAGGAUCUCACAUAAGUGGAGUAUAGGGAUUAAUUUCUAUAACUACAAUUUCACUCUCCCCAUCUUUUGGUUGAUUUUUAGCACAUGUAGUAUGAAUCACAUGAAAUAGUGUUUCAUUCUUGCCUUGGAGCAUAUGUCAAAUAUUAUUUAUAAUGCAUCUAUAAACACCAUAUGGACCUCAACUAGUCAUCCUCAUUAGACGAAGCCAAAGUCUUACAGUCAGAUACCUUCAAAUUUUAUUUCUUUUUAUCAAGUGGAUGCGAGAUAGCUACCUCGAUCAAUAUUGAUUCAUGUUACAUCAAUUAGACUCAUCUGGAUGUCACAUCCUCCGGUAUCACGUCGUGCACCGACAGGUUUCAAAUGACAAUUUAUGAUAUUACCGAGACUUUGUGGUGGUCCAUGUUGUAUACUAUAUUUGUAUAUUUACGAUAAAAUGUGUAGCGGUGUGCAUUCAUCCUACAUUCCUGCCUUGGAGACAAUCUUACAUUAUGAAGGAUUGCCUAGCUAGUUCUAGAAGUGCGUUGCUAUCCUCGAAUUCCACACAGGCGAUCUGUUGUCUGAUGUCUUAUUUCAUAACCAGCUUGGAGAGAAAUUGGAAAGGCAAAGCUUCAAGUUCAUUCAUCACUUAGUCCGUGCUGAAAACCGCUGUGCCAGACCAAGAACUAAGGACAUAACUCUUGAUAUUUGAUCUGGCAGAGCGUCAAUGUAUCGCCCACGAGAGGACUCUACUUUAUGGCAAUGCUGUGGAAGAAUCAAUAGAGGGAACAGAUAUUUGAUUAGUAUCUAUCACAAGUCACUAGACCGCCUUUGACAAUCUACUUAUACAAUAUCUACCUAGAAAAAAUGAGAAGAGUUUGCCUUAACAUAUUUAUUAAUAACAUAGCGAUAGCUAGACAUUGUUGGUAUUCAUUUGGCGCAAGCAAAAGAACAUCAACGACAAGCACAAAAUUCAAGCUUCUCUUGGAGUUGAUUCAAGACCGGUCUGAGGAAAUUGCUCCGUGACAAAGUAUCAAAAAGUUCCUAAACAUUUUGAUUCAAUUAAUUUAAUCCUAAACUUUUUCACUUUGAUACCAAUUUAAUUUAUUUAACCAUUUAGGCUAAAAAUAGAUAAUGUGGACCCUAGUAAGGCAGCCCUUGCCUAGGCCCUUCACAGCCCCACUAGCUCUAGGUGAGCUAGCCAUCGUUGGCCAAAAUGAAGGACAAAAAGAAAAAGAGAGAGAGUAGAAAAAGGAAAGAACAAAUGAAUUAUAAAAUAUUCAAAAUAUUAUUAAAAUGUACAUGUUAACACAAGCUGUGCCACAUAUGACAACUGGCAUCCAUGUUAGUGAUUUCCAGCCUAAUUAGCUGGAUGGAUUGAAUUGGUAUUAAUGUGAAAAAGUUUAACACUAAAUAAAUUUAAUUAAAAGGUUUAUAAUUGAAUUAAUACCGAUGUAAUAUGUUGAUAAUUUUUUUGUUCGCUGUUGAUGUUCAACACCCUCCCUUCCUCGACUUCCACUCUCACCUUGUCCUUCCUCAGCCAUGGUAGGUCCACCUGGAACAUAAUCGCCUCUGGCGUCUCCCUCUAGUUACUUCGCGCACCCUCCCUUAAGACGUCCGACCAGGGUAGUGAUAGGGUAAUCAAUCUUGCAAUCAACAAGUCCAAGAAUAGGUCCUAGAUGUUGAGCGAGAAAGGAUCAAAGAUGCUCAUCCUUCGUGAUGAAACGACUAUGCAUUCGAUGACAUGCUUAAGGGAAAAAAUAUAAGAAAAAAAUAUAUUUUCCUUUCUAGAUAACGAAAAUUAUUUUCCUAUUCAUUUUUAAAUUUCAGCCAAACAAUGGAAAAUAUGGAUUUUUUUUUUUUGAAAAAUGACUUCAUAAAAAACAGUUUCCAAAAAUUUCAUAUAUUCCACGAAACAAAUGAAAUCUAGAGUGAUCUAAAUUUUAUCACGCAAUCAUCUUUGCUAUGUGACCCUUUUGUUUCCCACAAGGCACUAUUCUCAAAAUUCGGACUUCUCAUCUUGACAUUUUCAUCAACAAUUUUCUUGUCUUAUUUCUAUUUUUAGCACUUCUGUGGAUUCAUGAGCCUCUGACUUCAUGCCUCCACGGGCCUUCAAACAUUUCAACUGGGGUUGAAAUGUGCUUUGAUGCAACAUAUAUCACUUGUCUUGCCUCAAUGUGGAGAAUAAUCACCAACUAGGUUGAAAAUGGAAUGAACAAGCUCAACUUGCUAUGCAGUACACAGUGAAUAUAUGAAAUAGAGAAACUAAUGUUUUUCUCCAUUUUUGGGAUGUUUAAACUCAUUGAAAUCGCCUAUCACUCAAUGAUUAAUUCAAGUGUGAACAAGAUAAUGCCACUCACCUUCCUCAUAUGAUCCACCCCAACCUCCAUUUCGUUUUGAAAUGGGCUCAUUCUUGAUAGGAUUAUACUGAAAAGUUCCUUCAAUAAUUUGAGCUCGAUCGGCUUCAACAAAAGUCACUUGUAGUAUGUAGGGAUAAUGAAAUGAAAUGGCCAACAUCCUCUUGGUCCGCAACCUCUUGCGGAAGUUUUUUACCUUAAACGUCUAGGAAUUUCUUGUAACUCCCCUGAAGUUUUUUUUUUGGUCAAAACUCCCCUGAAGUUAUAUAUUAAGGGAUUAUGUGGAAUGAGCGUUGCCUUUCUUCAUCUUGACACUUUCAUUUGGCACUGUUAGCAUUUCCUCUCAAUUGGCAAGCCGUCGCAAGUGCUCUUUGGGAAAAGUUUGGCGGUUCAUUACGGAAAGCUUCGUUGCAAACAAUUUUAUUUAUAUUUGUUUUAAAGCAGAAACCUCUCCCCUUUGGUGUCCCUAUAAUUGCACGGUCCAGCAAGGGAAAGACAAAAUUAGCAAAAGUAAAAAUUGCUGUCGGGAAUUUGGGACAAAUACUGUGCUGUCCUUCGCACACUUUAUAAUGUGCUCUAUCAUGCCCUAUUUUUGUCAUCUGCAAAGAAGAAAACAGUGUUAUUUUCAAUAAUCAAUUCAAUUAUUUUUAAGAAUAAGAUAUAUCUUUAUUUUUUUUCCCUCAAAAUCAGAUAAUUUCAAUAUCCUUUGCACCAUUAUAUUUUGUUUUUCAAUCUCGUAACCUGACUUGACUUCUCCUUUGUUACCUACACAUAAGGAAAAAAUUUGUCAUUUUCCAUAUAAAUUGAAUCACGUUUAGGAGCAAAGUACACCUUAAAAAAAAAAAAUUGGAUAAUCCCCCUUUGUUUUUGUUCAUUUGUAUCUUAUCAUCAAUUGCAUUCUUGCCUCACUUUGUUAUUUGUGUAAACACGAAAUCAAGAAGUGUUAAUAUUAAGAAGGAACAUUCUCCUUUUCUCUUCAAAGAUGGCGUCACUCCCAACUAGAUUGUUUCUCUUUUGUAAUGCUUUUGUCCAUCUAGGUCUGCCCCUCAUUAAUUUCCCUAUUUUUGUAAAUUUUGUAAAAGGAAAAAAAAUGGUACGAGUUAUUUUCGGAACAAAUCAAGCUUAAAUUAGAAUAAGUACUACAAUUUUUCUUCAAGGAUGCCUUCGGCCGUGAUUUAGUUCCCCUUGAUGCAAUACUGUUUUAUUUUAUGUAUUUUGCAUAAAGGAAAAUGAUGGACCUAGGCAUGUCCUUAAAAGGCUUAAGAAGGAAAUAGGUGGGAGAACCGCUCUAGGGUGGGAGACCCCGUGCUGUUCUUCAAAUUCCCUCUUUGUCGGGAAGACAAAGAUAAAUAUGGAAUUUGGGGCCUUAUGGUGGGGAAAGUAGACUCCACGUCGGAGCAUGUUUGCAGGCCCUGGCUAUCGCCGGGUAGAUUGGUAUAGUAGCCACUCAUGCCUAGGGCAAGUGAAGAUGGGUGAAAGGCCCACUAUAGAAAUAGCAUGCCUAAUGGCACAUCUUGGAAAAGGUUCUAUAGGAAAAGAGCAAAAAGAGAUUCAUCGGGAUUUAUUUUAGUACGAUCAAAUUGGGGCAAUUACUUCCAUUUUCUUUCAACCCAAAGGUUACGACGCUGGACAAUGCAACGUCUAAAUACGUAUUCAUGGUGGGAAGGAGGUGAUCUAAUCCUCCAUGUGUCUUAGGUAUUGAUCAUCAUAUUUGCGCCCUAGCAUAUCUACAGGAUUCUAUAAUUGUAGAAUUCUUGAAAUUCAACAUAAAGGGUGUCGAAUGCAAGAGGAGAACCUUACAUAAGGUAUUCCUUUUUGCUCAAAUCAGGGCAACAUAUUCGCUUGUCUCUAAAAUCAUUGUUACAUCGUUUCCAUACAUAUAUCACUCUUUUAGCACACCUCAAAGAUCUAGAACUUCGAUUCUCCUUUUGCAAAAGUUUCAGUAUAUGAAAUGUCAUCAUAAAAGGUUUGAUAAUCAUGCUAAAUCGUUCGAUUGCCCAAGUGUAUUUACAUGGAAUGAGCUUGGGGCUCACCCAUCGUGAAAUGUGUAAAGCUAUUAGAUGGACUUGAAGUCCCACUCUAUAAAUAAAAGCCCGCAAAAGCAUGCUUUAUUUGUCUUGAGCAAUCCCACUCUAUAAAUAAAAGCCCGCAAAAGCAUGCUUUAUUUGUCUUGAGCAAACGCAAACGCUAUCUUCAAAUUUUUGUUCAAAAAAUGGAUCUUAAAAUCAAAAGAGAUGCACAGAGGUACAAUGCAAUCCUAAGGGUUUUGCGCGAGCAGGCUUAUAUUUUGGAAAAGUGGGCCUUAGGUCUUAUUGGAUGGAAAAUUACCUUCGGAAGAAUAGGCCUAAUGACAUAUCAAGGUCCAAUACAAUUUUAUUUUGAAAAAUGGGCCUAUAUCUCAUGAGGACCAAUGUGUUUAGUUUCUGGAAAAUGGCUUUGCAAAAUGGAUCCAUCUGCGCAAAUUCAAAGACUCCGAGGCACGGGUUGAUAAAAGGAAGGAAAAGAAUUGAAGUGUUGCAAAUAAACAUCACGAACAAACGACUUAGUCCCCAAGCUGGCAACCCUUUGGAGAUGAACCAUAAGAGAGUAUAAUGGAUUGUCAAGCAGGUGCAGAGUACCCUUUAGCAAGAUGGCACUUGCGCUUCGCUUAAGCUCUUCCAAACUUUGCCGACCACAAUUUAAUUUCUCAUUAAUUGUUCCUUAGAAUUUAACUAAAAUUGCAAUUAAUAUAUUCUAGGCUCAGUAUGAGCCAAAACCCAACAGAUGGUGAAGCCCAACACUUAUUACAUGAGUAUCCUGCGACUACCACCGUGGACGUUGAACUAAUUUGUCCUCUAAUAGACAUUCCACGAAUCAAACUGAACUAUUAUAAUUUGUCCUCUAAUAGACAGUCUUGGUGUCAAAGCAAUAUUUCCACUUGUUUUCCUCAUUCAAUUAAUUCAACUCCUUGUUAUUAUCUACCAUAGAAUUCUUUUCCCUCGGAUUCAGAGACCCUAGGCUUGGUCCCUUUUUUGCUCAUGUAACGACGCUAGAAUGACAAAAUGCUCCAAAUGUUUGAGACAGAUUAAAGAGAUGUGAAUAGUCCAAAUUUAAUGAAAAUAAAUUCGAGGUUGCUUUCGAUCAUGACAUAAGUGGUGAUUAAUGUGUCAUUAUUUUUUUUAGAGUAUAUAAGAUAAAUUUACCUAGAGAUCCUUAUACCCAAAUUAAAUUGCCUACUAGAUAUCUCAAAUAUAUGAGGAUUCAUGUUCAAUUUCUAUUCAACACACUUAGUGAUCGAGCUACAAGCCAACAAUUCUCUGUAAAUUCACUAAUCCGGACAUGGAUGGCCUUUCUCUUGAUAGAUUGGAAAUGUAAACUCUGGUGUUAAUAGCUUACCACAAUUAUCAUAUCAUCGUAACAUCAAAAAGAGAAAAUAUAUAUGGUGCUUAGCUCCAAUAAAAAGAAUAUGAUCCAAUAUGUUUGAAGCACUGUGAGGUUAAAUUUGUCCUUCGUUUUAGCUGGGGAUUAAGUUUAUAAUUCUAUUAUAUAUGAAGUCAUAAUAUCAAACAGAGAAACUUGAUAGAUUCUUCACAUUGGGCGUUAGUGUUACGUGAUAUCUGCUUAAUCCUUCAAAACGUGAGCUACCGCCAGAGACCAGCAUAUUCUUCUUGUCUAGCCAUCAUUGAUGAGCCUAUGACCCAAAAAAUUGCAAAUUUCUCCUCUCUUUAAUCUAUAUAAACUACAAAAUCUUGCGAUUCAAAAGCACAAAGGAAACACAUCUUUCUCCAGAAAGAACUUAAAAGGACAAACUUUCAAAUCUCUCAAUUUCCAACAAAACAUGGCCAUGAAAGUUGAGGCUGUUUCCGCAGAAAGCAUCAAGCCUUCCUCUCCAACUCCAUCUCACCACAGGGAGUUCAAGUUCUGCCUCCUUGACCAGCUGGCUCCUCCGUUUUACGUUCCAGCCAUCCUGUUCUACUCAGCUCCCGAUGACAAGGCAGCGCUGGACUCUGCCUCGGUGUCAGGAAACUUGAAAACUUCGCUCUCGCAGGCACUUUCCCUCUUCUACCCUCUAGGUGGAAGGGUGAAAGGCAAUGCUGCCAUCGAUUGCAGCGAUGAUGGCGCGCUUUAUUUGGAGGCGAAAGCUCACUUCGAGUUGUCUGAAGUCCUUUCAAACCCUGACAUCAAUCAGCUCCAGAAAUUCCUUCCAUUCUCUCCAUACAGAGUCAUUCCCAACAUUGAGGAACAAGUCAUUUUAGGGGUCCAAUUUACUUUCUUCAACUGUGGUGGUAUCGCGAUCGGCAUUUGUAUCUCUCACAAGAUUGCCGACGGUGCAUCAGUCUCAGCUUUCCUCGCUGCAUGGUCUGAAAUUGCCGUAAAUGGUGUCGACGGCGAAGCCAACCUCAAGACUCCCUUCUUGAAAGCAUCUGAGAUAUUCCCACCAAAGGACAUAAACUUCCAAAUGCCAUCUGGGGUCAUCAGCAGAGAGAAGCUUUUGACCAAGAUGUUUCGUUUCGAUGGCGAGAGCUUGGGCCGUCUCAGGGCCAGGUUUGGCAGUACUGCCCCUACACGCGUUGAGGCUGUGACUGCCCUCAUUUGGAAAUCUGCCGUGGAGGCUGCGGGGAAGAGGCCAGACUGGACCAAGAAGUAUCCCCCAUCAUCAGCAGUGACACAUGUGGUGAACAUCAGAAGCAGGAUAAGGCCCCAACCAUUGCCUGAGAAUGCCUUGGGCAAUCUGUGGCAGUCUGUUGUGGCACCACUGAUAGACACAAACAAGGGUGUUGAAUUGCAGGACUUUGCAGGCAGUCUCAGGAAAUCAAUAAGGGCAAUUGAUGGCGAGUAUUUGAGCGUGCUUCAAGGCGAGAGGGGAUUAGCCAAGGCCUACGAAAGCCUCACGGCGGCACGGAAGUUGGCGGAGUCGUCUGCGGGAAAGAUGGAGCUCUACGGAUUCAGCAGUUGGGUGAAGUUUCCUUUCUACGAGGUGGAUUUCGGCUUGGGAAGGCCCACUUGGGUGUGCACCACCGGUUUACCGAUAGGAAAUAUGGUGUUUUUAAUGGGAACGAGGUGCGGGGACGGGAUCGAAGCUUGGAUCACAUUGCACGAGAACGACAUGAUCGAGUUCGAGCGCAACGAUGAGUUGCUACAGUUCAUUUCGCUGAGCCUGUGAUCAUGAGAAGUGCGACCGAUGAAGAUUAUCAUCCCUGAUGGUUUGCUUGUCGAUUUGAUUAAUUCGAGGUUUCAUAUGUUCGUUUGCUUUGUUAGAUGUAAUAAACUUCUUAAAUGGUUUUGUGUAUUAUUAUUCAUGUGUGAUUCAAACUGCAAAUGAAAGUAUGUUUAAAGUUCCAUAUGCCUUGAUUUUCUUGUUACAUCUAUGGACAUUAUUUUCUGGAAAACCUUGUUGAAAUGGAGAGAUACGAUUCGUAAUAUGUGUAGUUUUGUUAAAAAGUGUCUUGAACAUAUUUUUGUUGAGCCAUAAAAUAUUCAAAAUGAGUAAAUAACAGAGUCAGAUACCAUGAUAAAAAUUAAAUAUGAAAUCAAUAUCUUUUUUGUAAUAUCAAAGCACAUUAACCAAGCUUAAAAAAUAUCUGAAGGGUAUUGCGGUCAUAAAAUCCAAUAAUAAAACGAGCAAUGCUAUACAUAUAUAAAGAAAUCUUAAUGAAAAAAAUUAUUAACUAAUGUGGCAAUUAUAUUUGGGUAUUUCAAUAAAGCCAACGAUUCAAUGCAUGUUUAAUUUAUGUCAAUACCCAAUCGAAGCUAGUUAUGGCACUUAGUAAAUAGAUUUUAGUAAGAUUUCUAAAUCUGUCGAGUAUUUUCCUAUUAAAACUUACUUAUAAUUAUUUUACCACAUAAUUAUCUACUAACAGACACUAACGGUCAAAACACCUAAUACGUAUACCGACUAAGUUCAAGAUAGCGUUAUAAAUUACGUCAAUUUAAGCCAACAACGCGAAUGUCAGCCCCAUUUUUUAAGCAACUAACUUAAUAGUGCAACUUGUAUAGCAAAUCUAGGGGAGAAUUCAAAAGAAGGCUAGUAGUGUUCGCCAUCACUUAAUAGUGCUUUAGUAUUGGGAGGAAGAUCCAUUCAAUCACGACAGAUUACAGACCCUUCCGAAAUUAAUACUCCUGUAUGUAUCGAUGCUCCUUUUACUCUGGACUCCCCCAUCCCUUUUUGUAAAUCCGUGUCUUUUAUUAUUUUAUGAGGUUGUUGUCCUCAAUGAAGAUAAGAUCUCUAGUAUUCAUCUGCGUCUUGUAAAGUCCAUGUUCCGUCUUUGCUAAACCUGCUUCUUUUUCACCCAAAAAAUCCAUAAGAAAACUCAUCCAUCAUACUCCAAAAGAUGUCAAAGAAUAUGUCCAAUUAACAUGCUUUGACCAACGUCUCCUUCCAGCUACUCAACGACGACACUUUGUCAACUUUCGAAGUCCUCCUAAAUUUCUUUAUCGGUGGCUCCGAAAAGGGUAUACGAACCUUUACUUUGGUAAUAUUCACCUUGCUUUUACCGUGAUGUGGGAGCAUUCGACUUAGCUCCAUCACCGAACUCAACACAAUCAAUGUUCAUUCAAGAUAAGGCAGAUUUCGGUCAUAACUUUUUUCGCUGGGUCGAGAAUGAAGUCGUCAAUGAGAAGACUAUCAACCAGGUUAUCAAAUAUUAAGCGAUUAUUAAUUCUUCCCUUGUCAUUCAAAUAUUAAGUUACUGAUUCACCAUUUUUGUUGCUAAUUUUGAAGUUAAUCAGCAACAUAUCGAUGGGAGCCUAUUUUGAGCAAUUUCCUUGGAUAUUUGCUGAACUCUUGAGAUGGUUAUUCUCUAGUCAAAGCAGGGGGACGAAUUUUGGAAGGGGGAGGUGAGGGGUUCAAAUCCCCACCUUCUCAGGGGGAAUCAGCAACAUAUCGAUGGGAGCCUAUUUUGAGCAAUUUCCUUGGAUAUUUGCUGAACUCUUGAGAUGGUUAUUCUCUAGUCAAAGCAGGGGGACGAAUUUUGGAAGAUAGUCAUGAUUUCAAGUCUCCAUGUCGUUAUUGCAUUUCAUGGUUUCUAUGCGUUUUAAAGCAUUUUCUAGUUUCUAGGUCUUUAAUUUCUUUCUAGUUCCCAUGCCUUUAAUGUUUGGGUAGUUCCCAUGUCUUUUUAAUGUUUUUCUAUCUCCUAUGUCUUAGUCUCUCUGUAAAUUGGGAAGAGUUCUCAAUUGUAAUGUAGACUUUAGUGAAUGUAAAUACACAUCAGUGAAUAUUUUUGGGGCAUUGAUAGCUUCUAUUUUGGCUUUCUAUCCUUAGAGAGUAACUUACACCUUGGUGGUGAGCCAAGAAACUCCUUAUCCUCGAUUGGUGGUUUUUCCUUUAAGCCUUGGUGGUGAGCUUCUCCUAUCCUAAAGUCCUAUAUCCUUAAUGGGUGGCUUGUCCUUUAAGCCAUGGUGGUGAACUUCGUCAAUCCCAAUCUUCAUCCUUGGUUGGUGGCACGUCUCUAAGAUCUUGGUGGUGAUUGUAUUUUAUCCUACAUUUUCCUUUUACCCAUAGACAACCAUCCUCACACAUACCCAUCCAUACAAAUUACCUAGAAAAUUCCCCAUUCUCGCUAUUACUUGCCCAUGCACGCAUCAUACCUUAUUAUUGUUCACAUCAAUUACUAUAACCUUUCCCCAGAAUAACAGAAAUAUAGCUGUCUUUUUGUGAAUUUACCUAUGCAUGCAUCGUUCCCUUAUGUGUCAUGUAUGUCGAUCCAUGACAAUGUUGCUUGCUUUAUCAAGCAAAGCAAGUGGACCGAGUAGCGUCAUUUCUUCUCCGUGAAAGAUAGAUAUCCAUUCCAUGAAAAGCUUAGUCAAACUAGCGUGGCCGCAAUAAAUUGGUUUAUUAACUUUUCAGUUAAUUGUGUCCACAUGUCAACUUAAAUUAAUAUUAAAAUGGAUAAAUAUUCUAUCAUAGAGAUCAGAUUACUUAUAUAAUUGGAAAACACCGAAGAUUUUUCAUCAAACCAGUGCACGAUAAAGGAUCCUAAAGUCAAAAUCUCUUGCGGAAAAAAUAUGCACGUGAGAAUUUCCCUCAGUUUCAGUCUCACUUUUUCUUAAUAAGACAGUAUAGAUGCACUAAAUUUCAAUUGGACUCUUACGGAAUUUGAGAGUGUUAAGGUUUUGUCCCAUCAUUUAUCAGCUUAAUCUUUGGAUUAAUUUUUGGGUUAAACCUUUGAAUGGCUUGGACACCCUUUUGGGAGAUUCUCAACAGCUUCGGCUUGGGAUCUAAUUCGCCCUAGGGGUUAUGUGGUUUCUUGGUCCUCGUUUGUUUAGAGCUCAUCUUUGCCUCCUCGCUAUCAAACACAUCUGUGGCUUAUCACGCGUAACCGCCUACCAACUCAGGUUUUGCUCUUAUCUUAUGGUAGAAUUACGGCUGCAAUGUGCCCCUUUUGCUCUUGCCGACCAUACUCCAUAGAUCAUUUGUUUUUUUGCAUGCCACAUCUCUGGUAGUUUUGCUUCUUUUUGGGCAGCUAAAUUCAAUCUUGCUUGGCUUAAUAAGCCUUGGAUGGAGAAUCUUGAUUGGGCUACCAAACAUAUCGCUGGUAGUAGCUUUCACCAGUCUUUGGCUCGUUUUGGCUUGGAGCUCUUUGUUAUAUCAUUUAGAAAGAGCGCAACAAUAUCUUAUUUCGUAAUUAGGGUCUCUUUCUCCCGGCGAUGAAGGUGCACCUCCAAAAGGCUAUUAAAGACAAGGCGAUGACCUUUAAGCAUGUCCUUGACGUUCCCAAGAAUAGAAGACUUCAAUAGAGCUAGGAUUUACAUCCGUCUCUCAUUGAUUGAUAGAGGUCUCUAGUGUUUGUAUGGUGGUCCUUUGCUUCUUUUGUUGGUUUUUACCGGUUGGUCUCUUUUGGGACCACGGCACCCUUAGACUCUUCUUUGACUUUUGUCAUUUUGAGUGUCUGUCUUUUGUAGGUGCCGGGCCUCCUUCUUAUAUUCUUUUAGGAAAAAUCUAUACAUAUCUUAUUUUGACCAAAAAAAAAAAAAGAAGAAAGAUAUCAUAAUCAGGUUUCAUCUCGAUUAAUUUUGCAUAUGCGCACUCCCUUCUAACUUGUACAUGACAAAGGAUAUUAAAGCAUCAUAUUUCAAUAGGCCCUAUAUUUAAGUCUCCCUCCAUUUAUUUGCUUAACAUUUUGAGUUGAAUUUUUCUAGCAGCGCAAUUAAAGUAUUUGAUAAAUCAUGUGAUGUGAUGUUGAUUUGCCAUUGAAUUUUGUUGGGGGGGGGGGGGGGGGCAUACUCCCCAUCAACUGUAUAGGAGCAAUGCCCCUACAACUCAAGAGGAUGAGCUCAUAUUUAUUGGUAGUUUGGACUUUGGCUCGUGAAUAGCUACCGAAUAUAUAUAUGCUCAUCCUCUAGAGUUGUAGGGGCACUGCUCUCUUUUUUUUUUUAUAUAUAUAUUUUAUUGGCAGUUUGAGCUUAGAUUCAUGAAUAGCUGCUAAAUAUAUAUAUAUAUAUAUAUAUAUUAUGUUUAUAUAUAUAUAUAUAUAUAUAUAUAUUCUUUUUUCUCUUGUAAUUGAGGGAUGUAAUAGAGAGGUGAGAGGUGCUAAUUGUAGUGGAAUCAUCAACUGGAUGUAGCCUUAGUUUAAGGGUGAACCAGGAUAAAAUCUUGCGUCUCGAAUUCUCUUUCUCACUUUUACUCUCUUUUUUCUUUGUGAUUGUGUGACGAAUCCUAACAUCUAGUAUUAGAGCCAAGUUUGAGGUUAGGGUUUCUCGGUGAAGAGAGAUCCAGAAAAUCAAAUCUUGGGAAGAUGUCGUCAUUUGUUCAAUCAUGGAUUGAAGUAGAGAAAUUGAGAGGAAAGUGUUUCGAGUUAUGGAAAUCAAAGAUGGAGGCUCUACUUUUAGAUAGAUAUCUGUGGCACGUGAUUGAAGAAGAUAAAUCUAAGGAAAACUCCAAGGAGAAGUUGAAGGAGGACGAGGCAAAGGAAUCCACAUCUACUUAAUUGGAGGAGUGGAAGACUAGCGAUCAAAUGGCACGAGGCCUAAUUUGGCUAUGUGAUAACGUUUUGAUAAACAUGACCUCUAAGAAAACAGUGAAAAAUCUAUAGACAAAGUUAGAAAAUCUUUAUCAAAGCAAGUUGCUCAUAAACAAAUUGUUUUUGCAGAGCGCGUAUAAAACCUUCGAAUGAGCGAAGGUGAUUCUUUUUCUAUACACUUAAACGAGUUUAAUACUAUCUAUUGGCAACUUGCAUUGAUCGAUGUCUAUCUGGAUGAGGAAGAUAAAGCAUGUACUUUGUUGUGUUCAUUGCUGAAUUCAUGGGAACAUCUAAUUGUUCCCAUUGGCGUUGGUAUUAAUAUGUUAUCCUUUGAGGGCAUUGUAACUACUUUAUUAUAUGAGGAGAUGAGGAGAGCAGGUUCUGAUAAUGCAAUGCAAGAGGCUCUUUAUGUAAGAGGAAGAAAUAGUGAACAAUCCAAAUCUAGGUUUGGUGGCAAGAAUAAGCUUAGAGGAUGAUCUAAAAGUCAAGAUCGAUUGGAAAUAAUGUGUUGGAAGUGCAAAAAGUUUGGACACUUGAAGACAGAUUACAGAAGCAAAAGUGUGGGUCCAAAGAAGUGAGAGGAUGCAUCAUACUCUAAUAGAAAGAAGGAUGAUGACAGCAACUCAUGAGAUAUGUAUCUAGUUUGCAAUUCAUCGCAGGGUGAUCGUAGUAUAUAGAUAAUUGAUACUAAAGCGUCUUUUCACAUGACGUCUCAUAGAAAUUGGUUCUGUUGUUAUGAGGCAUAUCAAGUAGGUACAAUGAGAAUGCGAGAUGAUAUGACGCUUGAUAUAAUUGGUUGCGGAAAGGUGAAGUUGAAGAUGAAAUAUGGGACAAUCAAGAAUCUUUCGGAUGUGAUGCACAUUCCAUUUAUUACUAGGAAUUUCUUUAUGUGGGAACCAUGGUAAAUGCUAGCAUUACUUUCACUAGCGACAAGUAUAUCUGCAAGCUAAACUAUGAAUCUAUGGUGAUUGCCAAAGGCGAACAGUAUGGAAAACUGGGGAAGUUAUUGGCAAGCACGAUGAUCAGUGGUGAGAAAUAUAUCUCAAAGCAAGUGGAAAAAGAUCUUUCGAUGUUAUGGUAUCAAAGAUUGGAUCAUAUAGGUGAGAAUGGGUUAAUGAUCCUUACCUCAAAAAAGAUGGUGGAUGGAAUCCCAAGUUGUUCCAUGGGUUUUGGAUUUUGUGAACAUUGUCUACAUGAGAAACAAAAUUGGGUAUCUUUUGAAUCCAUGGGAGGGAGAGCUAAAGGAAUUCUAGAUCUAAUCCACAGUAAUGUCUUUAGUCCUACACCUAUAGCAUCGUUUGGAAAAUCAAGGCAUUAUAUUUCUUUCACUGAUGAUUAUUCCAUAUAUGUAUGGAUAUAUUUCUUGUAGAGAAAAGAUGAUGUAUUUGAAAAAUUUCGCUAGUUCAAAGCUCUAGUGGAAGAUCAAUUUGAUAGAAAAAUUAAAGUUUUGCGAAUUGACAAUGGAGGAGAAUUCUGUUCAACAAAAUUUGAUCAAUUUUGUGCAAUCAAUGACAUUGUAAGGUAGAAAAAAUGCCCUGUUCACCUCAACAGAUUCAGUGGUAGAGAGGCUUAACUAGUCUCUCAUGGAAAAAGCAAGGAUUAUGUUAAGUGGUGUAGACUUAGCAUCUGAAUUUUCAGCAGAAGUAGUGGCUACUACGUGUUAUCUAAAGAAUAGGUCUCUCAUAUCAGCUUUAAAGUAUCAAACACCGUUUGAGGCACUAUUCUGGAAGAGACCAGACAUAUCCCAUAUUAGAAUGUUAGGUUGUGAAGCAUAUGUGCAUGUGCCCAGGGAAAAGAGGAACAAGCUUGAGAGUAAGUUAGAGAAGUGCAUAUUCAUUAGGUAUAAGGAUGGUGUUAAAGGGUAUAAACUAUGGAAUUAUGAUACUAAAAGUAUUAUCUAUAAUAAGGAUGUGAUAUUCAGAGAACCUACAACAAAUCAUAUUGUUCCACAAGAUCCUAAAAAACCACAAUCGGUUGCGUUAGAUGUUGGUUUGAAGGAAGAGAAAAAUGUUAUACAUACUAUAAUAGAAAAUUCAAAUUAUGAAGUUCAUGGGUCUAAUGGGAUGGAUGAUAUAGUAGAUUCUGAAACUAGAUUUGAAGAUGAAGCACCACCAAACUGGUCUUAAGAAGGUCUACACGGCUAAGAAGACCACCUAAGAGGUAUACCUUAAUUGUUGAUAAUGAAAAUUAUGCUCUAACUAUUAUAGGUGAUGAUCCAAGUACUAUCAAGGAAGCAAGAAGUGCGGAGGAUGCCAAACAGUGGGAGAACAACGUUCCCCCAUGGUGAUUUGGAGGGGGAUAUUUUCAUAAAGCAGCCAGAAGGUUUUUUGGUCAAAGGAAAAGAAGACUAUUUGCAAAUUGAACAAAUCUUUAUAUGGCUUGAAACAAUCUUUAGGGAUAUGAUAUCAAAAGUUCAACUCAUAUGUCUUGAAGCUUGCCUUUGUUCAUUGUGAUGCUGAUCAUUGUGUCUACGUGAAAAGGUUUGAUGAUGACUUUAUUAUCUUAACCUUAUAUGCUGAUGACAUGGUGCUAGUUGGGAAUAAUGUGAGAAUGAUUAGCACUAUAAAAGGAUUGUUGGCAAAAUAGUUUGAGAUGAAAGAUCUAGACCUAGCAAACUUCAUCUUGGGCAUGUAGAUUAAAAGAGAACAUAAGAACGAUAAAUUUAUGGUUAAGUCAAAAGAAAUAUGUUGAAAGUGUGUUGAAGAAAUUCAACAUGACAAACUACAAAACAGUGAAAACUCCCAUGUCCACAAGUUCCAAAUUAUUAGCCCUCCGAUGUCCUAAGACUAAGGAGGAAGCUUAAAAGUUGGCAACAGUCCCAUAUGCAAGCACAGUUGGAAGCUUGAUGUAUGCUAUGGUAUGUACUCAUUCGGAUAUUGCUCAAGCAGUGGAAGUAUUGAGUAGAUAUAUUUUCAAUUUGGGAAAAGAGCAUUGGAUGGAAGCAAAGCAAGUGCUUUGCUAUCUUCACGGUACAUCUAAUUUUGAGUUAUGCUAUGAAGGCAUGAAAAACUCAAAGGAACAAUAAGCAUUAGAGUUUUAGUGUUUUGUGGAUACUGAUUGGGGAGGUGACAUUAAUAUCAGGAGGUCAACUAGUGGAUAUGUUGUUUCUUUAUUCAGUGGAGCUGUGAGUUGGAUGAACAAGAGAUAGAGCACGGUUGCUUUAUCUUUUACUGAGGUAGAGUACAUAGCCCUUAAUCAUGUUGUUAAGAGCUUGAUUUUACAUAAGGAGAAGUGAAGAUUGGGUAUGAUAAUCAAAGUGCUAUAUUCUUGACUAAGAAUCCUGAUAUUCAUGUAGGAACAAAACACAUUAACAUUCAAUAUCACUUUAUCCAAUAGAAAGUGGAAUGAAAAGUUGUAGUGCUAGAGAAAAUUGACAUACAAGUGAAUAGUGUAUAUUUUUUGCCAAGGUAGUAAAUGCAAAAAAGUUUAAAUGGUGCACAACUAUAUUGGGUUUAAAUAAGCACGUGGAGUAUUCAUCAAGUAAGAGAAUGUUGGGAUAUGAUUCAUACUCCCCACCAACCGUAUAGGGGUAGUGCCCUUGUGACCUAGAGGAUAAGCUCAUAUUUUAUUAGUAAUUUGGGUUUUGGCUUAUGUAUAGCUAGUGGAUAUAUAUAUAGUUUGGAUGUAUAUAUAUUUUUUCUUUUUAUAUUUUAUUGGUAAUUUGAACUUGGGCUCCUAAAUAGCUGAUAUAUAUAUAUUUUAUUUGGAUAUAUAUAUUAUUUUUUCUUUUGUAAUGGAGGGAUGUAACAGACAGGUACAAUGUACUGAUUAUAGUAGAAUUCUCAGCUAGAUGUAGCCCUAGUUUAAGGGUCAACCAAGAUAAUAUCUUGCAUCUCGAAUUUUCUUUCUUACUUUUACUCUCUUUUUUCUUUGUGAUUAUACGAUGAAUCCUAACAAUUUUUUUCAUAAUAAUGAAACUACAGUGUUGACACCUAAUUUUUAUCUUUCACGUAGUAUAAAAAAAUCAAAUCAAAAAUAAAUCAAAAUCAAAAUCAAGAAAUUUUAAUUAUUAAUUUCUUUUUUUUCAAAAAAAAAAAAAGCAAACUGUGCGGGUCCGGGUCGGGCCAGAUCUGACCUUGGCUCGACCCGGCCCCUUUUUCCUUUUAUUUUCUCCCCGCGUGGGCCUGGGCCCAACCCUCCCCUUUCAUUUCUCUUUUUUCUUUUCCCCUCGUGCGGCCCAGCCCUCUUCUUCCCUUCGGCCUGGCCCGCCCCAUUGUCUUCUCCCUCAGCCGUUUUCUGCGUGGGGAACCAGCAAAGACGAAAGUAGAAAGCAGCCGUCCGCGUGGGGAAAUGGCGAAGCCGAAAGCAGGGGCAGCCAAGGCAGAGGAGAUAGCAUCAUCUCGUGGGGCAGGCGGGCGUUGGAAUCAUCAAGAGAGGUCAGAGCCGGCUGGUAGAGUCGGUUGUUUGGGGGAAGUUGAGGGCACGCGCGCGCGAGCCUAGCGAUGGAGAAAGAGAGAGAUCUGGAGAGAAAAAAAAAAGAGAGGAGUGGGAGUUGAAAAAAGAAAAAAGAUAGAACAAAAAGAGACGAAAACAGAGAGGGGGUGGGAGGCGAGAGAAACAGAGGGCGAAAAAAAAGGGGAACUCAUCGAGACCACCGCCGUCGACGCGUCUCCUGAUUAUUGUAACCGUCGCCGAUGCGUCUCCCGAUCCUUACUACCACCGCCGACACAUCUCUAGGCCGCCGUCGCCGCUGCUGCAGACGCGUCUUCGAGCCGCCAUUCCUAUCGGAACUCAGGUUGGUAUUUCAUCGAAUACCUUGUGUGCAUUUUUGAGCUCGAGCUGGCCGGAGUUUGUUCCAUCUGUUUCGAGCGAGCUCCAGCUUUCGUAGGUCCCCCUUAGGUUCCUAUUUGUUGUUGGUUAUUUGCUGGUCACCACCGCUGCCGCCACGAAUCCCCAUUAGGUCGGAAGCUGCUCGGUUCGUUAGUGCCCAUUACCUGUUCGCCGUAAUGCCUAAGCGGACUCUCCCUCCCCGAUUCCUUUGUGUAGAUUCCAGCUAGUCUCUUAUGUCACCGGAAUGCUGCCGCCGUUUGCUUGAAAGCCGGACCAUGUCCCUCCAAACCAAGGUGGCACCGUCGCGACCCCAACCAGAUCGCCGGCGCCCCUCCCCCUUGUCUUCCCCACCAUCGCAACUCCCUAGUCGCGAUUGAGCAGUCGCUAACCAAGGGAGCGUGGGCCGAGCUGGGCCAGGUUUGUGACCUGGCCCGUUCGGCCUCUCUAGGCCUGCAGGCCCACUGUCCGGAAUCAAUCUAGGCCGUGGGCCUCCAAGUGAUUUUUUUUUUUUUAAAGACUUGGGCCCUCUGGAUUGGGCCCAAGUCCGGUCCGCCCUCAAGCAGGCCUAGUCGGGCGGACCCGAGCUCUCUUGCUUGGGUUGAACCCAGGUCGGGUAUGACCCGACCCGGUCCGGUCUCCAAAAAAUCAUCAUUUAAAAAAAAAACAAUUUCGAAAAAUUCAAAAUAUAUAUAUUAAAAAAUUAAUUUUUAAAAAAUAUUAGAAAAAAUUUAAAAUUUAAAAUUUUUAAAAAAAUUUAAAAAAUUAAUUUUUUUUUUUAAAUCGAAAAUUAAAAAUGAUGAGGUUUGGUUAGGAACUGCUAUGUUUUGCAUUUUUAGUGUAAUUAGACCUUUAUUUGCUCGUAUAUUAAUUAUGUUGCAUGUUUAAUUUGCAUAUCUAAUUAUGUUUAAUUGCAUGUGUUUAAUUUUAUUGCAAUUAGGAUCUUGAUGGCUAUGAUUGUUACUUUAAUGAUUGUGGAUCUGCAUAAUCACCUCACAUGUUAGUGGAUAAGUAUAAAAUCAAUCCGAACUACCUGACAAAAAUCAUUUUGUUAAAAUGAACAAAAUUAGGUACCGAAAGGGCACUAAUUGGCUAAUUAAUGUAAUCAAGUUCCCAACCCUAGAUUCUCUGGUUGUGUAGGAAGUGAGGCAUGCUCCCAUGCCUCACUUGGUUUCUAGCCGACCCCAAUAGGCUAGUGGUGACUCCUUUUGUGUAAAAUCCCUUAAGAAUAUCCUAAUGUCACGCGGGGUAUGGGCUUGGGAGAGCCCACGCCUUAUCAUGGGCCUUAGGCCCAUCCUUUAGGCAAUGCCCCUAAACAUGCUCCCUCCUCCCGAGGGUAGGUCACGACAGCUUGAUGACUCCGCUGGGGACUGGUUUUAAACCUUAGAGGACUUAGGCCAAUAUUAAUCUUGUUCAUAAAUAUUUUUGUUUGGCAGUGAAGAUUUUAGAUACGUCCCUAACAUUAAAAGUGUUAAAUGUUUUUGUAGAAUAGGAGGUAUAAGGGGAAGUGUUUGCUCACUUUUGUCUUGUAGGGAGGUGAAGGAAUGUAUGGUUUAUUUUUCAUGUAUAAAGUGUUGAUUGCUUAUGAAUUGUCAUGCUUGCAUCUCCUGCAUUGCACUAUACUUUAGCACACACAACUUGCCGCCAGACCUGGGCCACAUAGGAUCACUUAGGAUGGUGUUGAGGUGGAUACCACUCCGACUACAAGCAUGUAGUACGAGUCGCCCAUCUCAACCCCGAAAUUUCUUUAUUGAUGUCAGAGGUCUCCACCCUGGUCUGCGAGCAUGCGACACAAGUCGGUCCUUUGACGAAGCCAGAGUCAUGGGUAACACGAUCUAACCACGAGCUUGUUGGUUCAGUCUUGUAAUCCCAUGGCUUCAUUUUGGGCCAUCUAUAAUAGAAAUUGAACCACUGUCCAUGCGCAUGUCUAUGACCUUUACAUCACUGCUCAAUGAGUAGGGUAAGUUUUUCUUGAAUUAUUUUCAUCGCAAUUUACUUAUUUACUUUCAUUUUGGCCGGUCCACGACAAAUUAUUUUGAUCAUACGAUUGGGGUAUCCGACCUUCGCAUCAUCUUCAUCCCGAAAGUCGAGCUUCAUGCGUGGUGGGAUAGAUUAGAUCCAACUGGCCGUGAUUAUAUGUGAUCAUAUGUUGGACGUUUACUUCCCCUAUUGGAGAUAGAAACUCAUUCUGGUGUUGUGCAAGCAUUAGCGCAUUUUUGGUGCCCCGCAACUUGCACGUUCAUAUUCGGUGAUCACGAACUCACUCCAACCUUGGAAGAAUAUGGCGUUGCCAUUGGAAAGCCCUUGGUGUCGGAGUUAGUUAGCCCACCUAUAGGGACUGAACAUGCAUCGACCUUAUAUGAUUUCCUUAAAAUUAAAGAAGAUGAUGUGAGAAAAGUUUUGAAAGCCAAUCGCAAAACCUGCCCAUUUUCAUUUCUAAAUGAGCUUUUUCAAAAUGCCCCAUCUUUCCAAAAUAAUAAAAUAUUCCUACUAGCUUUCUUUGGGUUUGUGAUAUUCCAACAUUGUAGAAAUGCUAUUAGCCCUUCCGUAGCGUGGGUAGUUCGUGAAGUAUGUAUGGGAAAGGGUUUUAUUAAUGCUAUCUUGACUAAAACUUUUCUUUCCCUUACUUGUUUUAAAGAAAAUAAAGACAAAGUUUUCCAUGCUCCUCCUACACUCUUGCAAAUUUGGUUUUUCUCUCACAUUAAGAGGUUCGGUAGCUUGAUGACUGUGAGUGACAUUUCUGACUCUAGCCACUCUAUCCUAAAGUUUAGAGAUAGGAAAAAGUUCACCCCUGAUUAUCAUUAUUCUGAGUGGCUAGUUUUCAUGAUCAACCUCGGGCCUGAGGAUUUCCAAUGGCAUGCCAAAUGCUUCGAGUUCAAGAAGCGCGGUUCGUGUGUAGGCUUAUUGGACCUAUUCCUUUAUUGGGAAUCAUUGAAGUCACCGAAUAUUACCCGACUCGAGUCACCCGUCAGUUUCAAGAGAUCCAACAACUUCCGCCGGCGAUCCAAGAGGACCCGCUCAAGAUAGACUUCCCUGACAGAUGCCAAGACCACGAAGACUCUAUUGCGUUGGUGAAGUCGAUGUGGGAUAUGUGCCAUCCCCGGAAGCUGAUAUGGCCUGAAGAAGAGUUGGAGGGGCAAGAGAAGACCUAUUAUGCCUCGAAGGAGUACAUCCUUAGGCACAAGAUCCCAGAGAACUUCUGCCCGAAGAUUCCUGAAGUGCCAUUAAAGAUCACCCAUCGAGCUGAGAUCAAGCGCCUCAAAAGGGAGCUCGAAGAGGCUGAGGAACGUGCUUUGAAGUUAACCCGAGUUAGUGGAGCUGCCACGAGCGGAAGCUGUCCUCAUUAGUUAGAUUGAGUCAAAUGCGAUUUGUAGCGAGACCAUACUCACAUGCAUUAUAAUGUUAAAGAGCUUGUCUUGAGUCUCAAUGUUGGGAGUUAAAGGAAUGUCUUUCCAUCUUCGAAGUAGCUUCAUUGUUUAGGGGUUUUCUAUCAUGUUUUUCUUGUGUUAUGUAGCAACCUAGCUUUGAAUGAAACGAACAAAUUGGGGCAAUUAGAUCAUUUUCAUGGGCAGACCGCCUAAUUAUUACUUGUACUUAUAUAUGCUUAUCUACCUUUACUUUAGGUACUAACUGAUCGAUUGUCUUCUACUGAUCUCGACACGGCCAAGCGGAGAUCCCCAAUUCACACGUGCGCAAAAGUCAAAAUGGAAAACGAUAACACCAACGUGCGCAUGGCCAAGAUGGAGGACCAGUUGGCCCAACUCACCGCAAUGAUGCUUGAAAUAAGCCAGAGGCUUAAGGAGCCCCCCGUUGUAGCUAUCACUCGAACAUCCACCAAUAUGUUAUCAGGACAUGCUUCCUCGUGGACGGGAGGCACACACGUUGCUAAUCUCCCCGGGAAAGAAAUUGCCAGAGAAGCUCCUUUUGUCAUGCCAAUUUGGAUCCUCCUCCGAAAGAAAACCCAACACCCCACCUAAGUGAAGAGAGUGAAAAACGUUUGGCAAAGAUGGAAGAGCGACUAUGUGUCUUGCAAAGUUACAAGCUAAAAGGAGCUAAUAGGCUAUCUCCAUACACCAAGACGAGUUUUCCUGAGAAUUUCCAGGAACCUGAGUUCACAAGAAAGUAUGACGAAACGAGAUGCCCAAGGACCCACCUUAGGUAUUACAAGAGGAAAAUGGCUCACUACGCUGACAACAUGUCAUUCAUCAUACACACAUUCCAAGAUAGUUUAGAAGGCAUUGCCUUGACAUGGUUCAUUGCACUGGACAUUGAAGAAUUCACUAGUUGGGACGAUUUGACCAAUGAGUUCUUGCAGCAAUACCGGUUUAACACCGAGCUCGCCCCUAUGAGGGAAGAGUUGACUCGCAUCGAGAAGAAGAGGAAUGAGUCGUUCAAAGCCUUCACGCAAAGAUGGAGGACUAUGGCCUCACAAGUGAAGCCGGCCUUGAAUGAGAGGAAGAUGAAGCAACUGUUCCUCAAGACAUUGCCCUCUUAAUAUUUCCAAGGGUUAGUAUUCUCGGGUUGCCAGACAUUUUCACAACUAGUUGAGGUGGGUGAAUGGGUCGAAUGGGCAAUGGUUGAGGGAAAGAUUUCAACUAGAGUCAUGAAGAAAUUCUUGGCAAGAAAAGAUAAGGAGGUCGCAGUUGAAGUAGCGCUUGUACAAGGGCCACCUUUCCCUCAACCGUCUGCCACACCCACGCACAAGCCUAUAAUGGUUCAAGGUAGCUCAUCACAAGCAUAUGAUAACAGCAAGAGACCCUUUCGAAAGGAAUUUUCCCCACUACCACGCCCGUUGUCAAAGCUGUUGCCCAUACUCCUUGAAAAGAGGAUGGUUGCGAAGGAGGUACCAAGAGACAAUCCCCCAAGGUUCGCCGGUUUCGAUAUGACCAAGACCUGUGAAUACCACAUGGGAGAAGUGGGGUGUGAUGUAGAUAAUUGCAAUGUGCUGAGAUACAAAAUUCAACAGCUUCUAGACAAGAAGAAUUUGACUCUCGGGAGGCUCAGCCUAACGUGCAGCAGAACCCUCUACCAAAUCAUGCAGGGGGAAUUAACUCAAUUUCCGAGGACACGUGGGCGAGUCAACAGCCUCUAGUGGUGGAUGCUUCCUAGUUGUAUGAGUCCCUAGUGCUAGCAUGAUACUAUAGAGGUCAGGAGGAUGUGACCCUAGAAGAAAAACUGAACCGCGUGCGCAAGAUGGUAGCCAUGGGAGUAAUCCAACGCGGAGAAGAGGAAGAGAGGGUCGUAACCGUGAUAACACCAUCGUCAUUCCGCUCAUCUUUCUGCAACUUUGCUAGUAUGUCUCGAGCGAGGAAGGUUAUGGGAAUUUCGAAGACCCCAACUUUGUACGAGGAAGGGAUGAUAGCUAUGAUAAUCUCAAUGGUGAUUGAACUAUCUGAUGAAGAGCCCGUCGACGAUAUUGAGAUGGGAAUCGCUGAACCCAUGGUGAUCGACCUUAUGGUCGAGGAGAUGUCAGCAAUCAAAGUCACGGGAAGGAACGCAAUGCUGAUCACAAUUGUAUUGCCUCCCCGAGAGAAAGAUGGAGUGAUAAUGCUGGAGUAUCCUCUCAAAUUCUAUUCCAAAGCUGUACCUUGGGGUUAUGGAACAAAUGAGGUAGAUGAUGUCACUUGAUCAGGCCGCUGUUACGCACCUGAUAAGGGAGUAGAAAAAAAGGCCGUGAUCGAGGAGGAGGCAAAGCAAUUUUUGGCUGUAGUAAAGUCUAGUGAGUUCAACGUGGUGGAUUAACUUUGGAAGUCGCCAGCUCAAAUCUCCCUCCUGGAAUUAUUCAAAUCUUCUGAGAAGCAUAGGGACAUCCUGCUGAAAGUCCUUAAUGAGGUGCACGUGCCAGAGUCAAUCGAUGAAGUCCAAUUGGAGGAGUUUGUUAGGCCGUUCUACUAAAAGACCAAAUUUCCUUUACUGAUGAAGAUCUUCCCCCCAAUGGUCAUAAUCAUAUCAAAGCACUACACAUCUCGGUGAAGCAUGAAAGCACUCUUGUUUGUAGAGUAUUCAUCGAUAACGGUUUGACGCUCAAUAUAUGCCCAUUGGCUACUCUCCACUGUCUUGGUAUUGAUUUUGGGAGAAUUUGUACUGGCAAGUCGACCGUGCGGGCUUUUGAUGGGAUGAAGAAGGAGGUGAUAGGGGAAAUUGAACUUGAAUUGCUGAUUGGCCCUGUACUUUUCCAAGUCGUGUUCCAGGUGUUAGAUAUACCAAGCGCUUUUAAUUUUCUGCUAGGGAGGCCAUGGAUCCACACAGCGGGUGAUGUUGCCUCCAGCCUCCAUUAGAAGGUACGAUUUGUGGUGAACAACAAGCUUAUCACGGUCCAUGGAGAAUUCGACUUCAAGAUCUACCACGAGAUGGCCAUCCCCUAUGUGGAGCCUGAGUAUACCGAGGAAUCCAGCUUUCAAACCCUUGAGCUGGUAUCCAUGGUACAUGUGCCUAUAGGGUCCUUUACAAAGGCUCCUAAAUUGUCUAAGUCAGCCAUAGCAGCAGGAAACAUUAUGUUGGUAAGCGGGUAUAAUCCUGGAGAGGGCCUUGGAUCACACAGUCAGGGUGUGCGAAAGCCCACUGAAGCUCACAAAAACUCAAAGAAGAGAGGCCUAGGAUAUGUUGAGGGGCGAGGAGGUCGUAGCGAGCAAGAUGGUCGUGGCAACCGAGGGGGCCGUGGAAGGCAGAGAGGUCGAAAUGCCCGAGGAGGCCGAUGUGGGUAUAGAGAUUGGAGUGAACGUAUUGCCCAAACUGAGGAGGUUGAGGGCGAUCAAGGCCCUUUUUACCCGUUGUUGGAAGAAACGUUUCCAGGAUCUCCAAGGAUGUUAUUCAAGGAAGAGGGGGACAUCUAUGGUGUAACCGAGUUAUUCGAGGAAGACGUCAUAUGCACCAUUCUGGCAUGCGAGGAAGCUAAGUCCUCUGAAGUCAUGGAUGUCCCUCCAAAGUAGGGCGGUUCUCAUUUAGCCUAGUCUUUCAUUUUAUGUUUUCUCCCCUGCGUGGGAUCUCAAAUUUUUUCUUUCUUUAUUUCCUAUUUAUGUCAUUUGUAAUGUGAACUAUGGUCAACCCCGAUCUUGAGCCGUUGGUCGAGGGUAAUGUAUGUUAAAAUACGGUCUCAUCUUUCCUCAUUCAAUAAAAUAGACACAUGUUUUAUUAAGGACAUGUGGAGGCAUAUCGAACUAGUACUAUGAUGGUCGCUGAGGCCUAAGUCUCCACAUGCUCCCUUAUUUGACUGCCUUGCAAGGACGAGGAAAUCCGAAGAUAUGAAGAUGAGUUCUUGAAACCUUUACAAAAAUACUUCAAAAAUUCUUUGAAAAUGACAUGCAUCAUCUUUAUUGACAUUGCUCUAACUCAUCUCAUCGCAUCUCAGGUAUUACAUUAUGCAUAAUCAUAAUAACGACGCAUAUGACCCGGAUGUGCAUGAAGAAAGUCUCUCAGGUUCCAAUGACACCGACGAUGACGAUCAGAAGGGGAUUGAACGCGAAUGGAAUUGACAUGAAGAAUCGAAGCCGUUGACAGAAGAGCGAACAAUCACCAUAAAUUUAGGCGAUGCAGAGAAUGUUAAGGAAGUAAAGAUCGGGGCAUGUCUCUCAGAGUCAGAAGCGGAAAAGAUGACUAAUCUUCUGAAAGAAUAUCAAGAUGUGUUCGCUUGGACAUAUGUCGACAUGCCGAGAUUGGACCCUGAAAUCAUGGAACAUGCUCUGUCAACAUAUCCUAAUAUGCCAUCCAAGAAGCAAAGACUCAGGAGAACUAAACCAGAGUUGUCCAAGAAGAUCGAAGAAGAAGUAAUGAAGCUACUGAAAGUAGAUUUUAUCGAAGUGACAUGUUAUCCUGAUUGGGUAGCAAAUAUCAUGCCUGUAAUGAAGAAAUAUGGGCGAAUCAAGGUGUGUGUCAACUAUCGUGACCUAAAUCGAGCAAGCCCCAAGGACGAUUUUCCACUCCCGCAUAUCAAUGUCUUGGUUGACAGUACGGUGGGAUUUGAGUUAUUCUCCUUCAUGGACGGUUUUUCUGGAUAUAAUCAAAUCCGUAUGAAGAAGGAGGAUAGGAGCAAAACAGCAUUCAUUACUCAUUGGGGAACUUUCUGCUACAAAGUGAUGCCUUUCGGUCUAAAGAAUGCUGGGGCAAUGUAUCAAAGGGCCAUGGUCACAUUGUUUCAUGACAUGAUGCACAAGGAGAUCGAGGUAUACGUGGAUGAUAUGAUCACGAAGUCAAGACGAGGUGAGGACCAUGUUGGAAUGUUGCGAAAACUGUUCAAACGUCUUCAAAAAUUCAAGCUCCGUCUCAAUCCCGCAAAAUGCGCUUAUGGGGCAAGAUCUGGGAAGUUGUUAGGGUUCAUGGUCAGUAACAAGGGCAUAGAGAUUGAUCCGUCAAAAGUUAAGGCUAUCUGUGACUUAUGACCCCCGACCACCACUAGGGAAGUUUGCAGCCUAAUGGGACGACUCAAUUAUGUGGCGAGGUUCAUUUGUCAGUUGUCUGAAACAGAGAAGCCAUUCUUCAAGCUCUUGAAAAAUAAUGCGAAGAUUGAGUGGGAUAUCGAGUGUCAGGGCGCCUUCGAGAAGAUAAAACACUAUCUCACUCAUGCACCAGUCCUAGUACCUCCUCUCCCUAAAAUUCCCCUGACUCUAUACUUGACCAUACAUGACGAAUCGCUAGGAGCCAUGUUAGCACAAAAAAGACCAAAUGAUGGGAGAGAGUGCGCGAUAUACUACUUGAGCAAAAAGUUCACUAUUUCUGAGAUGAACUAUACUAAAGUUGAGAGAACUUGCGUGGCGUUGAUUUGGGUCUUGCACAAGCUGCGGCAAUACACACUCCAUCACCGAAUCUUGUUGGUGACCGAAAAUGAUCCCAUCAGGUACCUCCUGGAGAAGCCGACGCUGGUUAGCAAGCUUGCCAAGUGGCAAAUCUUAAUUUCAGAGUUUGACGUUCAGAGCCUAGGACUAGGGGUGAGCAGCGGUCUAGGGUCAACCCUAGACCAACCCUGGACUGGCCCAACCCUGCCGGUCCUGGUCCAGUUCCCAAGGGGACUAGGUCGAUCCUUGGUCCUGAAAUUCCAGGACCAACACUGUGCGGGUUGGUCCUCGGUCCUGAGAGUUUUGAGUUGGUCCAACCCUGGACCAACCCUAUAUAUUAUAUUAUAUUAUAUUAUUUAUAAUUCUUUUAUAUAUUCAAAUCUAAGUAAAAUGUCUGUUAAAAAAAAAAACCUAAGUAAAAUGAUAUUAAAGUUGUUGACUCCUCAGGCUCACAGUCACGGACAGAUGGCAUCCAAUUCCAAAAGGUGUGGAGGACAGUCUAGAGUAUGUUCUUCAAUCUUCACCAUGAGGACCAAGGAGUCAUCACAGUCACGGACUCGCGACAUCCAAAACGGCGUGAAGUUUACGCCAUAAAUCUCCUCAUGGCUUCCUUCCCCAAAGUACGUUCUCUUCCAUUCUGUCUUCCUUGUUCUUCAAUUUGCCAAAAUCAAAAGUAGCAACAUCCCGCUCACCUCUGGUUGCCCACGCCGCUCACCUCUAACCGUGUGUGCCACUUGCACCGCUCGCCGAUCACCACUCGCCCUUUGCUAUCAUCGCUGGCCUCACUCAACACUCACCACUCACCGCUAGCCUCGCUUAACGCUUACCGCUUAUUGCUGGCCUCGCUCAACGCUUGCCGCUCGCUAGUUGACGCUUGCCCCACUCAACACUUGACGCUUGCCACUCGCCACUCACGCCGGUCACCUUGCUUAUCGCCAAGUAAAUCAGAAGGAAAAAAAAAAAAAAAACCCUAACUAGAAACCCUAACGCUCGGCUCACCCUUGCUUUCCGAACUUGGCUAAUGAGUUCUACUUUGUGCUUCAUUGAGAUCUUCAAUGCUCUUGAUUUGUGUUGAAUUUUAUUUUUUCCACGUUUGCUUCACGUACGUGAUCAGUUUGGCUGGGUAUUAGUCCCUGUGACCUCCCCUUUUUGACCCUUGAUUGACGGGGGUGAUUGCAUCUGAUGUGUUCUUUCUGGGCUUUUCAUUCCUUUUUUGGAGAUGGGUUUUAGUUUUGAUUGGAGAACCGAAUCGUGCUCAUCAUCUAUCAUGAUUUUAACUGAAGUAGCAAUCGAACCGUAUUGAUGUCAUGUUUUUAAAAUCUAGAUCGUUGCAUGUUGGAACAACAAGCUCGAUAAAGACAUGAGCUUGUAAUUUAUGAGCUGAAAUUAGGUAAAAAAUGCCAAAGUUUUGCUGGGAAAAGAAAGGAAAUUUUGGUGAAUAUGUAUUGGUAUUUAUAGUUUCGUUGCACAAUGCUGCAUUGUCGAUGGAUGUGUAAUGUGAAUUUGUAGGUUUGCUUUUUUAGGGAGUAUAAAAAACAAGGCGAAAAAAAUUGUCGAUUAGUCCGGGUUGACCCUGGAACUGGACCGAACCCAUUGGGUCGGUCCGGUCCUUUGUCCAGGCUCAAUAGGGUCGGUCCUCGGUCCUAAAAUUUGAGGACUGACACUGUAUGGGUUGGUCCUAGGGUUAGGAGGUGGCUCGGACCAACCCAGACCAUGCUUACCCCUACCUGGGACAGAAGUCUGUUAAAGGCCGUGCCAUAGCAGACAUGGUGGCGGAGAGUUCCAAGAGGUCCAUAGCAUCAAACGAAGAUAGUGAUGUAGAGGAGAGAAUUUUACUUGUAUCAAGCGACAAAUGGACAAUGUACUUCGAUGGUGCAGUUAAUUUAGCUGGGUCGGGUAUCGAGGUAAUUCUUAUCUCCCCAAACGGUCAGCACUAUCCUGUUGCCGCUAAAUUGACAUUCCCUUGCACGAAUAAUAUUGCCGAAUAUGAAGCAUGCAUUCUCGGCCUCUAAGCUACUAUUGACAUGAAGAUCUGAAAGAUGCAAGUUUAUGGUGAUUUAGCCCUUAUCAUCUUACAGACUAAAGGCGAAUGGCGAACACAGGAUUCUAAAUUGAUUAUGUAUCAUGAGUUCCUGGGGAAGUUGACAAAAGAAUUCCAAGAAAUAACAUUUGAAUACUUGCCAAUGUCUCAAAAUCAGUUCACCGAUGCCCUAGCUACCUUGUCUUCAAUGUUGCAAAUAGUUGGAGGCUUGGACUUUGAACCAUUAAGAAUUGAAAUCUUUAGGCGCCCAGCUUAUUGCAUGACAAUUGAAGAGAAACCGGACGGACAGCCUUGGUAUCACGACAUCUUGAAGUAUCUGCAGAAGGGUGAAUUCCCCGAAGGAAGUGAAGCAGCAGACAUAAAGCAUUUAAUAAAGUUAGCAUCAAAAUUCUUCGCCAGUGGAGAUGCCCUCUACAAAAGGUCCUUCGACUCGACAUUGUUAAGGUGUGUCGACGCUAAAGAAGCCGACCGUUUGAUGAAGGAGAUACAUGAAGGAGAGUGUCCAUAUGAAUGGACACUUCUUAGGGAGAAAUAUCAUGCGACUCGAUUAUUAUUGGCUAACCAUGGAGUCCGAUUGCAUUCAUUAUGUACGCCGAUGUCACUAAUGCCAGAUUUAUGGAGACAUGAUAAAUGCCCCUCCAAAUGAACUUCACCAAAUGUCUCAGCCCUGGCCUUUUUCAAUGUGGGGAAUUGACGUAAUCGGGCCCAUUAACCCCAAAAAUUCAAAUGGGCAUCGAUUUAUCUUGGUGGCGAUAGAUUAUUUUACGAAGUGGAUCGAUGCCAACUCGUAUGUUAAUGUUAUUGCCAAAAAUGUGGCAAAGUUCAUUCGUCGCAACAUUGUCACCCGUUACGGGGUGCCAAAGGGGAUCAUUACCGACAACGGCACUAAUUUGAAUAACAAAGUCAUGGAUUGUUUAUUUAGUGAGUUUCGAAUUAAGCAUUUGAACUCGUCACCAUACCGUCCUCAGAUGAAUGGAGCAGUGGAGGCGGCGAAAAAGAACAUAAAGAAAAUCCUAUCAAAGACUGCCGAAAGUUAUCGGGAUUGGCACGAUAGACUCCCUUAUGCGCUAAUGGCAUACCGAACCUCCAUCCGCACCUCCACGAGGGCAACUCCUUUUUCACUCGUAUACGGGAUGGAGGCAGUCUUACUUGUCGAAGUUGAAAUCCCUUCUCUAAGGGUCCUUUCCCAAUCUACGCUUGAUGAGGCUAAGUGGAUGCAACAGAGGCAUGAGCUGUUAAACUUGAUUGAUGAGAAGAGAUUGCAAGCUGUGUGUCAUGGCCAAUGCUAUCAGAGACAAGUUGCAAAAGCCUUCAAUCGAAGGGUGCGUCCUAGACACUUUGAAGUCAACGACCUGGUGCCGAGAAAAGUGCUUCCGAUUAUACCAGACCCUCAUGGCAAAUUCACCCCGAACUAUGAAGGGCCGUAUGUCAUUAAGAAGAUUCUUCCUUGUGGUGCUAUGAUUUUGGUUGAAAUGGAUGGCAGUGAAUUGCCUAGACCUGCAAACUUAGAUGCAGUCAAGAAAUAUUUUCCAUAAUCGAAAUCAAGGUCGAGGAACCACUUCAUGUGCAAUUUGAGUCACAUGGCAUCAUGCAUAGCAUCAUAGAUAUCAUACAUAUAUCACAUACAUGUGUAUCUAUUUGUGUUUCAGACACCUUAUCAUUCGAUGAGGAAAUGGGGGAAGGAAAAGUCGAUUCAAAAGACCCAUUAAGUUUCUGCACAGAUGGUUGAAUGUCUCUUUUUCUUAAACGAGAGGUAAAAAAGGGGGGGGGGCUUGGCGUCAUUCAUACAACCUAUUUUUCUGGUGUCACUAUACGUGCUUCAUAUCGGUAAUCCUCGAAGAGGGGAGCUCGUAAAAACAAUUUUAUUCGGAUAAAAAGGUGAAACAUUAAUCAUGCCAAACAAGGAGUGCUUAGGAUGAAGAAAGGUAAGCCAUUUCCAAACACAUCCUUCAAACACUUUCAAGAGUUGAGUGAAAAACAACGUUCUCUUAGGACGAAUGAUCCAUUCGCAUUGAGCGCGAAGAUUGAAAUGAUAAAGGCAUUUCCUUCAUCAAUCCCAAGCGCCAAGCUAACAUAUUGCUAGCCCUUUGGGCCAAAUAGAGAUGAUCCUCCAAAGUACCCCUAUCGAGAACGACCCAACAUUGGGGCAGCAUAGGAGGUUACAGUCGUGUUGUAGAGCGAAUGAUUGGGAAAGAUUCUAUUACUUUCAGUUGCAUCAAUCUUCUGGUGAUAGCUUCAAAGGAAUUCUCAUUAGAUCUUGACUCAUCCCAAUGUGAAGAAGAGCAUUUCAUUCUCCACCCAAACACUAAUACCCAUUGCUUUAACCAAUUUGGGCCGGAUUAUUUAUUUCUGAACCCCAAGCGGUAAUCAUCUCCCUUCAAUGGGGCAAGGCAUAAGAAUUGACCAAAUAUAAUUGACAGUCAUGAGAAAAUGUGAAAAGCGUCUCGAAAGUCAUAAGAGCUACAAGACUUCAAAGAGCAAAAAGUUUUACAAACUAAGGGGCAUGAAAAAGUAGUGUGCCUGGUGAAAGCAAGACCAAUGUCCGUUUAAAAAAAAACCAAAAGUUGCAUUUUAUGUGAAAAAAAAAAUUAUCAAGAUCCAAGUGCUUGCAAAAAAAAAAAAAAAUCAUCACAAGAGCAAAGGAAAUUAGAGAAAAGAGCAAAGCUCCCAUGCAAAAAUGAUUAGUCAAGGGACUUUUGAGAUGUGCAGUGUUUCAAAAGCCAAAUGCUUUCGAAAGGUUAUGUGACUUGGUCAUGAUCCCAUGAUGAUCACCGACUCUUAAGAACCCUCUUGAAAAUUUUAAGCUUUUCGAGCCUUUCCCGAGCCAACAUUAUAACCAUUUUCCGAAGCCUCUUCUGAUUGGGAUGAUUUGAGUGAAAAUGAGAAUACCACAAAAAAACUACUGCUUGAAGGAGUGGAAGUAAUUCUAUCUUGUCUUAUCUUCCAAGCUCUCGACUUGUAAACCUAAUGAAGAUAGUGAUAAAUGUUCCUUUAUUGGCCUCAAAGCAAUAAUUCCUUUGUGUAAGCCCUAACUGAGCCUAUAUUGCGGUUCUUUCAAAUGACCUUUUUGAUCGAUCGGAUUGUGCUCAUUGCAAAUGUUUCCGAAAGCCUUCAACGUAGGUUAUGUGAGAUACCUUCCGCGACCAAUUAUCUCCCACAUGAAUGGAUGGGAUCAAGUAGCCAUUUUAUUGAGAGUGCGUGAGAAACCCUUUCUAACUAAGAAGCUCUAGUUUGGCAUGUUUAAUGAACCUUUUUCUCGAGUUGUAGCCAUUCUGAUGAGAACUUAUCUCCUGGAGAAUUUGAUGAUUAAUGAUACAUCCCCGAGCAAGAUAACAAUUUUGCACUACAUGAUGCUAAUUGACAUUUAAUGUUUUCUUUAAAGAAGUCGAACUUAGCUUGAUUAACUUAUUCGAUUAAUGCUGUAAUAUUGUCAAUACGUCACUUGAUGACGUCCCUAAUGACAUUUCCUCAGUGAAGCCAUGCGGUUUUCAAACGGUUUGUGGGCCAAUCCUUAAACCACACGAUUCGUGGGUCAUCCUUAAACCGCACAGUUAGUGGGCCUAUCCUUAAACCACGCUUUUAAAAUGUUCAUGAGUCUAUUUUUAAACUGCGAUUUUUUCAAAAGGUUCAUGGUCAACUUUAAAUCAUGUCAUCUACAAAGGUUCAUUGGUUUCCCUCAAAUCAUGCAUUUUCAACCCGGUCGAAACCCGUUAUUACAUUGGGAGACCUCAUUCCUCUCUUUCUUCUUAUGACACGAUGAGCUUUGUAACCCGGAGAGCUUUUGUAACCCGGAGAGCUUUGUAGCCCGGAGUCCUUCCUAUGACACAAUGAGCUUUGUAGCUUAGAGAGCUUUUGUAGCCCGGAGAGCUUUGAGCCCGGAGUCCUUCUUCUUACGACACGGUGAGUUUUGUAGCCCAGAGAGCUUUGUAGCCUAGAGUCCUUCUUCUUAUGACACAAUGAGUUUUGUAGCCUAGAGUCCUUCUUCCUAUGACACGAUGAGCUUUGUAGCUUAGAGAGCUUUUGUAGCCCGGAGAGCUUUGAGCCCGGAGUCCUUCUUCUUACGACACGGUGAGUUUUGUAGCCCAGAGAGCUUUGUAGCCUAGAGUCCUUCUUCUUAUGACACGGUGAGCUUUGUAGCCCAGAGAGCUUUUGUAGCCCGGAGAGCUUUGUAGCUCGGAGUCCUUCCUAUGACACGGUGUGCUUUGUAGCCCGGAGAGCUUUGUACCUAGAGUCCUUCUUCCUAUGACACGGCGUUCUUCUGUAGCCCGGAGUCUUUCUUCAUCUUAUUGAUAAGAUGUGUUUCCAUAGUUAUGAGUCAUUUUCCAUCAACCUAAUGCGUGCUUACGCACCUAGGGUCUUUCUAUCGUCGAAAUAAUUUAGGUGUCUUCUGUCUUUGAUUGCAACCUCUUCGAUGCUACAUUUAAAGAAGGGCAGCUGUUGACACAUAAUUUUUAUCUUUCAAGUAGUAUAAAAAAAUCAAAAAAAUCAAAAUCAAGAAAUUUUAAUUAUUAAUUUCCUUUUUUUCCCAAAAAAAAAAAAAAAGCAAAGCUGUGCGGGUCCAGGUUCGGCCGGAUUUGGCCUUGGCCUGACCUGGCCCCUUUUUCCUUUUAUUUUCUCCUCGCGUGGGCCUGGGCCCAACCCUCCCCUUUUCCUUUUUCUUUUUUCUUUUCCCCUCGCGCGGCCCAGCCCUCUUCUUGCCUCCAGCCCGGCCCGCCCCGUUGUCUUUUCCCUCAGCCGUUUUCUGCGCAGGGAACCAGCGAAGACGAAAGCAGAAAGCAGCCAUCCGCGUGGGGAAAUGGCAAAGCCGAAAGCAGGGGCAGCCAGGGCAAAGGAGACAGCAUCAUCUCACGGGGCAGGCAGGCGUUGGAAUCGUCAAGAGAGGUCAGAGCCGGUUGGUAGAGUCGAUUAGUUAGGGGAAGCCGAGGGCAAGCACGCGCGAGCCUAGCGAUGGAGAAAGGGAGAGAUCUGGAGAGAAAAAAAAAGAGAGGAGUGGGAGUUGAAACAAGAAAAACGACAGAAUGAAAAGAGACAAAAACAGAGAGGGGGUGGGAGGCGAGAGAAACAGAGGACGAAAAAAAAGGGGAACUCACCGAGACCACCGCCGUCGACGCGUCUCCCGAUCGUUGCAACCGUCGCUGACGCGUCUCCCGAUCGUUACUACCACCGCCGACGCAUCUCCAGGCCGCCGUCGCCACCGCAGACGCGUCUCUAAGCCACCAUUCCCGUCGGAACUCAGGUUGGCAUUUCAUCGAAUACUUGGUGUGCAUUUUUGAGCUCGAGCUGGUCGGAGUUUGUUCCGUCCGUUUUGGGCGAGCUCCGGCCUCCGUAGGUCCCCCUUAGGUUCUUGUUUUUUGUUGGUUAUUUGCUGGUCACCACCGCUGCAGCCACGAAUCCCCAUUAGGUCGGAAGCCGCUCGGUUCGUUAGUGCCCAUCACCUGUUCGUUGUAAUGCCUAAGUGGACUCUCCCUCCCCGGUUCCUCUGUGUAGAUUCCAGCUAGUCUCUUAUGUCGUCGGAAUGCUGCCGUCGUUUGCCUGAAAGCCGGAUCAUGUCCCUCCGAACCAAGGCGGCACCGUCGCGACCCCAACCGGAUCGCCAGCGCCCCUCCCCCCUGUCUUCCCUGCCGUCACAGCUCCUUGGUCGCGACUAAGCAAUCGCUGACCAAGGGAGCGUGGGCCGAGUUGGGCCAGGUCUGCGACCUGGCCCGUUCGGCCUCUCCAGGCCUACAGGCCCACUAUCCGGAAUCAAUCUGGGUCGUGGGCCUGUGAGUGAAUUUUUUAAAUAAAAAAAAAGACUUGGGCCCUUCGGAUUGGGCCCAAGUCCGAUCUGCCCUCGAGCAGGCCUGGUCAAGCGAACCUGACCUGCUCAAGCGGAACCCGGGUCGGACUCAACCCGAUCCAGUCUCCAAAAAAUCAUCAUUUAAAAAAAAGAAAACUUUCGAAAAAUUCAAAAAAUAUAUAUAUUAAAAAAUUAAUUUUAAAAAAUAGAAAAUAUUAAAAAUUUAAAAAAUUAAAAAAUUAAUUUGUUUUUUUUUAAUUUCGAAAAUUAAAAAUGAUGGGGUUUGGUUAGGAAUUGCUAUGUUUUGCAUUUUUAGUGUAAUUAGACCUUUAUUUGCUCGUAUAUUAAUUAUGUUGUAUGUUUAAUUUGCAUAUCUAAUUAUGUUUAAUUGCAUGUGUUUAAUUUUAUUACAAUUAGGAUCUUGAUGGCUAUGAUUGUUACUUUAAUGAUUGCGUACCCACAUGAUCACCUCACAUAUUAGUGGAAAGUAUAAAAUCAAUUCGAACUACCUGACAAAAAUCAUUUUGUUAAAAUGAACAAGAUUAGGUACCGAAAUGGCACUAAUUGGCUAAUUAGUGUAAUCAAGUCCCCGACCCUAGAUUCUCUGGUUGUGUAGGAAGUGAGGCACGCUCCCAUGCCUCACUUGGUUUCUAGCUGACCCCAAUAGGCUAGUGGCGACUUAUUUUGUGCAAAAUCCCUUAAGAAUAUCCCAAUGUCACGCGGGGUAUGGGCUUGGGAGAGCUUGUACUUGAUCAUGGGCCUUAGGCCCGUCCUUUAGGCAAUACCCCUAAAAUUGUUCCCUCCCCCGAGGGUAGGUCGUGACAUAUAGAUUUUCUUAUCAUGUUUGGCCCAUAAAAGCAAAUAUUUUUAGAUCCGUCCCUUGUUGGGGACAUUAAUUUUUUCCUUUUCUCCCUUGCUAUCCCCAUAGUGAGAUCGCAUAACUUUAAAGAUGACAUAAUGAGAAUAAACUAGGUGUUGGCUUUAGAUGGCAAGGGAUUAACUUCCUCUCCCCAUGGUCUUGGAUUAAAUUCUUUAAUGGAAGAGCUACAUGAGCAAAGCCCUCAAUACAUCAGAUUGAUGUGGGGAAGUGCAUCGUUUAAAUCGUCUAAAAAGUAGGACUAAUUUAGAUGCCCCGAAGUGGGCUUAAACAUCAUUUUCGCUAAACCACGAAAAAAAAAAAAGAUGAGAAAGGGAUGCAAUGAUUUUGCACGAAAAGGCACGAGUCCGGCAGACAGUUAGGGGAGAGAAAAAGUAGGUUGUAUGAUGUUACGAAAAUAAUUGGUCACUUCAAUGAGAAAAAUUGUAUUGGGAGACAAUUAGGAUGUGAAAAUAGCCAUACCAUAUCAAAAGUGGUUGAUUCGAAAAGAACAUGAAACAAUCUGAGUUAAUCUAUUACUAUCAAGGUUGGUGUCUGCAUUUUAAAUUCUUUAUUUUGUAAAAUUAAUCUAGAUGAGGGCAAUGUUCUUUGAUAUAGUUUCCUAUAGCAACUUAGCUAUGAAAAGAUAUAUUGCAAGUCUAAGAAUGGAUCUUUCGUUUAAGUAGGAUAAUGGCUCUUGACAUUUUAGGAUUACUAGCAAUAGUGUACAUACGUGUUGCGUACAUGCGAAAACUAAGAUUGAAAGACUUAAACCAUCUCAUCAGGAAAUAUUUGGAUUAUCAACUAACGGAAAGAUAUUAUUGACUCGAUAAAAAAAUAUUGUAUAAGUUCGUCUUUGCUUUAUAUAAUAGGAUAACUAAAGACAUCAUAAUUCUUUUCUCAAAACUCUUUUAAGAGGCUAUGUAGAAUGCAAACUUUCAAAACUUAAUGUUCCCAAAAUAACAAUAGAUUUAUUUGCAAAUAUAAUCUUUCCCAAUUACAUAGAAAAAAGACACCACAAAUGUCAUAACUUUUGUAUGAUACUCACUUUGUUGUUAUAACUUUUUCAAUUGAUUAUAUGAAUGUCAUAACUUACAAAAAAAGAAGAAGUUUAUUUUGGUGUUAAAAGAUUUCAAUCAAUCAUUUGAAUGUCAGAAAAUUCGAUGUGGCAUUAAAAUUUUCAAUCCUUGUGGUGAAAGUUUUUUAUAAGUUAUAUUACUCAAGUGAUCAAUUGAAAUUUGUAGCGCCAAAUUAAACGCUAUAUAAAAAUUAUGACAUGUGUGGUAUUCUUCUCCCCAGUUACGCCGUAAGAAGUUAUAUUGCAAGUUGGAAAUAGUAUCAGUGUGUUGGAGAAAACUUCCUUAUCUGUUUUGAAGUUGACAGAACGUUUCCAUCAGUCUAGUCUGAAGACUUGCAGACUCUAUCGUCAAAGUCUGAAGACCUCCAGACUCAAGAUUUUAAAGUCUACCCUCGCUGAUGGUUUCCAGAUCGACGAAAAAAAGAUUUAUCUGAUGAAGAAGACUUAUCUAGAUGCAAGUAUAUCUUUAAGGAAUUGGUUCGUACGGUUAAAGAGAUCUCACGACUGGAUACGGCAUCACGUGAUCAAUUAUUCUUAUUAAAUCAAUUUGAAUAAUUAAAUCUAUUGAUUGGUGAAAUAUACUUGGAAAGUUCUACUUAUGGAAACCUAGAUCCCGAUUGUAUGGGCGAGCAAAAUUGGUGAGCUAUCAUCACAUUCCUUAAAUAACUCAAGAUCUUCCUAAUUGAUUCUGUCCAACGGGUAGAUUGGAAGAACUCCUUUGGAAUGUGCCAACGGUUAUAAUGGCGAGGGUGUGCGUGAAAGAAAAAUUCCAAAGUCUGAAGCUCUUAGUUCUUUGUUGUUUCAAUUUUUUGAGCUUAAACUGUACUCAAAAGAGAGAUUAAAUACUUGUGAGACCUUGAGGAAGUGUAGUAGGGUCUCUACACUGUGGAAUCAAGGACGUGAGACUGUAAAAUAUCUUUUGAUUCUUAGUAGAAUCUAGCCAGUGAGCUGUCAGUGUGGGAGAGUAGACGUAGGCUUGGUCUAAGCCGAACUACUAUAAACCUUGUAUUUCAAUUCUCUUUCCCUAAACUCUUUACUUUAAUUCGCAGUCUUAUAUAACUGUUUACAGUCUUUUAUAUCUUCAGUCUACUAUUUUCAUAAAAAUCAAAUUAAGUUGUUAAGUCUUGCAAAAACUUCUUUAAUACCUAUUCACCCCCCUCUAGGUGUUCUUACUAGCAUUAUCACAGUGUUCACCUCGCAUUUCCUAAUUAGAAGCACCAUUGUUGCAAGAUUCAACUCUUAUAAGAAAUUUAAAACAUUUAUGUGUGCAUGGCUUAUGGAUAGUACUUAAAACAUUUAAUUGUGAAGAAAUUUAAAAAAUUUGAGUGUGCAUGGCUUAUGGAUAGUACUUAAAACAUUUUCCAUAUUUGUGGCCUAAGCAUAAUUUUAGAAAGUUCAGGAGCAAUGGCCACUCUUGCUCACAUUUUAACUCGUCUUCGCUAUAAGUUUUGCAAGGUGUUUGUCAAAUAUCUCACAACUACAAUGCUCCGCUGUUUUAACGACACACCUAAGAGAUGUUAUUUUAUCUAAUAUAGUCCAUAUUUAAAUAUAUUACUAAUAUAUAAGUUACACCAUAUCACUAUGCAACUUUAAUACAACAUAUCUACAACACAACACCAAAGAGCAGGGUUAUUAUUGGGAAAAGUGUAAAAAAAUUUAUAAACCUAUUGCAUUUGUGUCAAUUUAAUUCUAAAUCUACGUCGAUGCUAAUUAAGUCCCAAAACUUUGGACAUGGUGCCAAUUCAAUACUUUUGACUAAUUUUGGCUAGAUAUUGCUAGCAUGAACACUAGCUUAUGUGGUACCAUCAAUGUUGAUGUGAAAAUUUUUAAUAAGAUUUUAAUAUUUUUUUAAUAAUCUUUUUGACUUUUUUUCUUUCAUUUUUUUGCAACUUGUGGUGCAUGACAAGGAUCCUCACCCAGGUGAGGUCAAGUCACCUUACCAUGGCCGAUGGCCAAUCACCGACAAAAGGAAGAAAAAAGGCAAUAAAAAUGAAGGAAAAAAUAAAAUAAAAAAUAAUUCAAAAAAAUUAUUAAAAUAUUAUUAAAAAUUAUCUACGUCAUCACUGGAAGGCCACAUAGGCUAGCAGUGUCCACGUCAGUAAUAUUUGGUCAAAAUUAGCUGAAAGAAUUGUAUUGGCAGUAUGUCAAAAGAUUUAAAACUAAACUGACACUAAUGUAAUAAAUUUAGACUUUUUUGACACUUUUCUCGUUAUUUUAUGUAAAAAAGAUAAACCAUUGUUUGGGAAACUACAAUAAUGGUCCUUGUAUCUUUUGCACAUAUUCAUUUUUGGUCCCCUUACUUGAUUUCGGGACAAGUUUGUUCCCUAAACAAAUGUCCCGUCAAUUUCUAGACACAUUGUGUAUUUUCAUCAAAUAUGGAUGGAAACUGCUAAUUUAGCUAAGAAUAUAAAAGCGUGGCACUAACUUGCAAUAAACAAAUCAAUAGGGCAUAUUCAAUUUUCAUCCUCAUACUUAUCUUUUUUUUUGACAAAUUUGGACUCUAAACUAACCCAGGAUCAUGAUUUUCAGACAAAUUUUGUUUUUAUUUGUCCAAUUACAAACAAAAAGGCUAAAUGUUAAAGAAUAACAUGGAGUCAGAUGUUUAUACUUAGUUUAGUAGAUCAGUGACCUAGUAGUAGUUCUCCCUAGAUGGUUAAUACUUGAGUAUCGCUUUUAAGGAACUUGGCCUCUAAAGACCAUACAAAUUUAAACCAUUCUAAACUUAAGAAUGUCUGUUUCACGAAAAAAUAAAUGAUUUUGAAAAUAUUUUCCUAAAAAUAAUAACUUGUAUUGUUUGAAAUAAUUAAUCAAUGAAAAAUAUUUUUAUUACAACAAUUUAUGUAUAAAUAUUUUCGUGCAAGAUGAAAAUAUAUUUCAUUUAUUCAUUUUUAAAAGCAAUACAAGUGAUUAUUUUUAUAAAAAAAUAAUUUUCAAAUUAUUUAUUUUCUACGAAAUAAACGGAGUCAAUCAUCAAUUUUUUUCAGUCAUUCCAUAUGGACACCACACAUCAACGUCCAACACUCAGUCAGCAAAUUCUAACUGCAUUUGGAUGGAAAAAAAAAGUACUUGAGGAUAAAAAUUAGUUUGUGAACCAAACUUGUCACAGAAUCGAACAUGGGCAAUAGGAUAGGGACCCUUUUUGUAACUCCUCCUCAAACUUUUUUGUUAAUUACACAAGACGAGAUACGAGGACCAAAAUUGGAUAUGGACAAUAGUACAGGGCUAUUUUUGUAAUUCGCCAUCAUUUUAUAUGAAACUGACCGGACCAAAAUUCAAAGAAGGCACGGAUUUGUCCCACUAAAUAAUUUCCGAUGUGAAUUUUGACUUUCUCGAGUAUCCGUUUAGAGCUCUUUUCAGGUCCAAUUCAAGAAAUUAUUAGGCUUUUCGGUAGUACCACGACACUGGUGUUUGAGCACCAUUGAAAAUGCGACUCGUGUCAAGUGGGACCGGUAUUGAAUUGGAAAUAUUGAAUCUAGAUACUAUAAGGCCGACAUGUGAGCUGGUUUCUAUGGCUCCUGAGCUGCAACGAAAGAGGAUUUCGUAUUGACGGGGGAAUCAUAGCUGAGUUGUGUUGACUUUGCUUCAAUUACAUGAGUCUAGUUCAAGUUUUCAUCUUACAUGUCAUGACUUUGCUGCUAGCUGAAGCAAUUGACAAUGUUCCAUUGAUAUUAAACUCUAAAGCAUCUUUCAUAUAUCACAUCUACCAAAAAAGGAGCAUAAUUUCAGAUAUCUAUCAAAAAAAUAUUUCUAAAAUCAUUUCCAGAAAUUCGUCUCCCAUGGGAAAGAUUUGCAGCAGAAGAUGGUUUUGGGAGGCAAGGUUUAGGAAAGGAUUAAAAAAUUAAUUAUUUUUUUUGGUCCGUGAUUAAAAAAAUAAUUUGUAUAGUCGAUUAUGUUCAACGGAUUGAUUGGAAAAAGUUCCUCAAGAAAAUGCCAACAGCUAGUAAGAUGUGGAUGAGUAUUUAAGGAUGCUAUUCAGUCUAUUUGAGGAAGAGAUGCAAAAAUUAAAAUUCCAUAGUCUGAAAUCUUUCCAACUACUUGUUCAUCAUCGGCAAUCCUUAUAAAUUGUAUUCAAUAGAGAAAAUCACAAAAAAAGUGACUUAAUGAGAGAGUAGGGAUCUCGCACUGAGUUUUUGCACUCAAAAAAUUGUACUUCUCUAUUGAUGUUAUAGUGAAUUUCAAUCAGAAGAUUGUUAACAUAAGAGAAUGGAUGUAGGCUUGAUUUAAGCCAAAUUACUAUAAAUUUUGUGUGCAAUAUUCACUUCCCUUAACUCUCUUUAUUUAAAUCCGCCGCAUUCUUUUAGUUAUCGCAAAAAAUUAGUUCCAUCUUUUAUCUAAUUCUAAACAUUCAUCAGAAGUCUGGUGACUUAUUUAUCAGACUUUGUUCGAAAUUUAUUUAUUUAUUAAAAAAAAUUAAACACUUAUCCAUCCCCCUCUAGGUGUUCGUACGAGCAUCAUCAAUCACUUCGGCCAAGAACUGAUCUUCAAUCUUCCGAUCUGAGCUGCUGUUUAGUACUUUGAGAGCCACUAACAGCCCGUUCGUGAACGUCCCUUUAUAAACAUCCCCAAAACUGCCUGCACACAGUAAAUGCGAGAAAUUACUGGUGGCCAAUCUUUGCUGUUGAGAAGAGAACCGUAGGGGCUUCUCUAUGUCAUCGAGAAUCUUUAUCGACCAUGAUCGUCAAGAACGCGAGGGCAACCGGAUUCGUGGCCCUUCUGAGGGUCCAUCGCCAAGAACAAGCGCUGAUGCUCAAGGAUAUUCUAACGAUGACAUGACAACCGCUGCCCAUGAAUGGAGAGGAAUAUGUAUUAUGAUGACUUGAUUGUAUUCGACACGAGUAGCCUGGAAGAUUAAACAACAUUUGAAUAGUUUCUCGGAUCACAGAAAAGAAAUAGUUCGAUGCAAAAACAAAAAUCGUCAUGUGAAUUUGAAACAAGGGAAAUAAAAAGCAAGAAAAGACUUAUCAAGGAAUAUCACAACUGAAGAUGUCUCGCCGGACACCAAUGAAUUGACAGAUACCAAAGCAGCGAAAACAAAAGCCAAAAUUAGAUGCCCAUCUUUAUUGUUUUUCUCGGUAAGUAGCUUCAUAGAAGUUGAUUUUCAGCUUCAGAUAGAUUCUAUGUUCUCUUGAUGCUGGAACCAGCUUGUGCCAUACAAUAACUUGUACGGUGGACCAGCCAUUUUUUAUUUCACUUUUGUUGCUUCAUGUUUGUCCAGGGCCGACUGCAGGAUCAAACAAAAUACCUUUCUUGAGGAAGUUCUUGUGCCCGACUUAUAACGAUUAUUAGCGAUGACAGGAAGAACAACAGUGAAUCCCCCAAUUAGAUUUUUCUAUGCUUCAUCAGUAAGAAAUCCAAACAAAAAUCUAGACGAGAAAAAGAAGACACUGUCGUGGAGGUGGAAUAAUUCAUGUAAUCCUGCUCAGGACGAUCAGAAACUUAGCUAGCUCAUUAGGCAGUCUCCUCCCCUCUUGUGUUGUCGAUUCAACAAGGUACAGCAUGCGGGUUACUUCUCGCCAUAGAGGAUAAGUUCACGUUUUUCAAGCUUUCUAAACUUGUAGAGCGGUAAUAGACAAGAAUAUGUGUGGAGAGGAAGACCAUUUGUUUCAGCCGGUGUUACUUUUUUUUUUUUUUGCUUUGAAACUAAGUAGAGACAACUAGCAGAUGUUUUAACGACAUCGUUGGUUCCCCUUUCUUGUUUUUCUUCAACUUCAUACAAGCUUUGGUUAUGGUAAUUUGUAAGUCUCACAUAUAUGAAAUGCUUACACAAAAAUAAGAAGCACGAACAAACACUUAAGAAUUUUGUUGUCAACCCAGAUUAGCGUAACUAGUUGGAGCAUUAGGAAAUUCAACUCCAGGGAUUUAAAAUCACAUGUUCGAAUAGUACAAAAUAAAUUGCAAGCCGACUAAUGUGAAUCAAGAUUACGUGCAUUGGUCGAAGGUGGGAACUAGACAAAUUCAGAGGGCUUACAGGAGUAUUCCAUCGGUCGCUGCACUUGUGCCCCAAGACUAUGAUAUGGACUUAUAUCGUGAUUGACUAAGUCUUGAAUAAAUGAAUGAUAUUAAGAUUUUAUUUAGAUUCCACAAAGUUGUUCAGAUGCAUAUUUGCAACUUUCUAUUGCAGUCUUAUCUACAUUUCAUCCUAAGAAAGGGAAAAAACGUAGAAUUGAGAAGAUGAAAUUGAUGAAUACUCCGUCAUUUAAUAGCAUAGAAUUCACGAAUUAGGCAUUGAAAAACCAUAAGAUGGGGAUUAAUUAAGAUUAUGGCCACAAGUGAAACCUGAUAAAAUUGCUUUUGGAGUUAACUGGAGUUUGGUAAGGUCAUGGACGGCUUCUUUUAUGUCUCGCCCAAAGCUAUAGAAUGCUGAAGAUUAGCAACUUCAAGAUCAUUCAAAGUGAAAAAUGCACAAACUGGAAAGCUCGUUGAAACAUGGAUUUUGAAAGACAGUGAUACUGGAUUCAAAUAACGUAUACAUCAAAAAGAGUCCAAGUAUUGCACCUCGGCAAACCAUAUGCACAUUUCAGAUGAAAAUCUCAUCCUUAUCAAAACUUUGGCACAGCUCCCACUUGACAAGGAUUUCCGAGUCGGAAAUUAUAAUAUAUAGGAGCCACAACCGCAUCUAUCUUUCGGAAUGCAUUAGACACCCUGCAACUUGUUUGACAUUUUAUUUUUCUUACCUUCCUUUUCCUGCAAUGAGCGUGCACAUCAUAAGUCUGUGAAAAUGGAAUACUAGUUGCAGAUAAUAUACAUUGAGACUCAGAAAUGCAUGUAUCAUCACAAGGGAUAAUAUACAUUCAACGGUCACAGUAUGCUGGAGUAAUUUCACUUGGGUCACCAAACCUCAACUUAUCGCACAUGAUGCAUUUAGCCUGGCAAAUCCUCUCAAUUAACAUUUUAAGGCCAUUUCUGGCCAAUUCUUCAACAGAACAUGUUCUUCGUGUCUUUUUCUAUGGUUUUCACUUAAAAGUUGCUGAGGACCACAAUGGCUCAACCUUUUUGAAAGUGCAACAACGAAGGUUUGCCCUGCUCUGGCAGAGGGUCACGCCCCGUGUUGAGAAACCAGAGGUCAAGUGACCCUCACCCAGCCAAGAGUCAUGGAACCAUAGCCGGAUCCUUGCCAGUCCAAGACAAUGGUUGAACGAUCCUCAUUCUGGUCAUGGAUGGGGUCAUACAACCCUCUACUUGCUCAGGAAAGUGAGCCACUGCUUUCUCCAACGGAGGGCAGUGAUUUGCUCUCAUUUCCAAAGGUUGGUUUAUUUUGCACUUUCUUGACCCCCACUAGCACCACGUAUGAGUAAUCAUGAAAAUAAAACAAUAUCCGCCGCUUAUACAUCACUUGUACAAUAGAAGAUUUCAUUACAAAACACCAAAGUGCAAAAAUCAAAAGAAUCCACAAAUUGUAGUGACUUUUAAUAUAGAAAAACAGAGAAUAUUUUUUUGAUAGGCAAGAUCAAACUUACCUGAAAUUGUAGUGAUUCCUAAUAUAACUCAGCCCCAUCACCGGGCUAAGGAAGAAAGAAAGCUGUCCAUACUCAGCAUGACAUGCCAUGGCAAGCAGAAUUAUUUUCUUUCUUUCUACCUCAAAGUUAUCUUUAUAUUAACCUUUAGUUGCUUUGGGUUUCAUAUUAAAAGUCAAUUUAAGUUAUUCACUAGCAAAGGCAGGAAGGAUUUAAGGAAUUAGCAAAUUUUCUGGCCUGAACUUCCAUGCAAAGAAGCGGCUUCAAUUGAAAACGAGAACUCACUCACAUAUAAUAACACUGGCAAAGACAAGCUGCCUGAACACUGGGCUAGGCUUAAUGUGUAACCCAUAGAAAGCCAUGCUGAGUAAAUUGCCAGAUAAAUUGCCACAGUUAUGGACUUUAGAAAAGCACAUGAAAGAUUUCCAACCAAACAAGAUCAGGCUAUCUUCUUACAAUUCCUUUACCAGGAAAUCAAGCCUAGACCACUUCACCAAGAGACUGUGGCUUGUCAAAUAGUUGGAAUAAAUUCCAUUCACGGUCAUUAAAAUUUAGUAGAUUUUGUAAUUAGGUCAACAAAAGUUGAUUCCAAUUGCCCUAAACUUCCAAAUUGUUGUUGGCCGAUAUAUUCCAACCGGAAUCCAGUCAAUAUUGCAGUGAAAUGCUGAAGUUGCAGACAAGAGGAAAAUGUUUUAGAUGCUACGGCAUUACCAUGAGGCCACCCAUUAACAUUUCAUAGAAUAUUUGCCAAAUUCCGAUCAAAGUGCAUUGAUUGCAAAAAAAUGAACAAUUUACUGCAUUGGAUGAUUAAAUUCAAAGUCCAAUAACCUGAUUGAGAAAUCACUCAAGAUUAGGAAUCAUUGAUGGCUUCCUGGUUUGCAGUUAAUUGAGAUGCCGUUUACUACCUAUCUACAGAUCCUCCUCGUCCACCAGUAGAACUCAUAAGGACGUAAAUAUUUCUGUAGAACAAUGUUGGCAUAUUGCCAGAAUACAAUGGUGCUGGGCCAAAUCUGUGUUGACUUUAGCUGAGAAAUCUAAGCCAUGACAAGGCCAGGGCCUUGAUGACAACAGUUUUUGAAUUCGAUUAGGCUAAGACAUUUUUGAACUGUUCAAGUUCCAGUGGACUAAAGCGAGACAGAGUGCUUCAAGAAUCAAAUCGAACUCAAAUUCUCCAAUACUGGAAUUGAUUAACAACCAAACACUGCCAUGACAAUGGUAUACAUUAAAUGUUUAGUCACUUAAUAACCGAUCGAUGUGCUCACUGCAGCAACUGCUGUUGUACCAACGUGCAAAGCAAAUUGAUGAAAUGAACAUUGAAAAAGAAGCAAAACUACUAAAGAGUUAGCGAAAAUGAUCUCACAACUAAAAAAGCAUUCAACUACAGGCCACCAAACUUGUACCCCUGACAAGCUGCCUACACAAAAUUACACCCCCAACAACCUCACCAUACUUCAUGACUAGAUUACCAUCGUAUAUAAGGAACAGACGACAUAAAGCAGGCUACUUUUCUAAGAAUCAUGACAUAGAGUGAGGGAAAGAGGGAAAGCAAAGCUGAAAGAACAGAUAAUGGCAAAUCCAAAGGGCAAUACAAACGGAGAAAAAUUAAGACCUUGGUAAAACUUACUGAUCUUUGGUUAUCGUAAUAAUUUUCCAAAGCCCACUGAUACCUCGACUGGUCCAACCCAAGCCAACGGGCCAUGUGGCUAUCCAAGCUUGAUUGAGCUGCACAAUUAAGCAAGAAAAGAACUUUGAUUAAUUUUGCAGAAAAAAAAGAGGAAACACGGCUAAAAAUUACACAACAUGGACACUGAGCAGCUGAACUUCGAAACUGUACACGUUCACAUGCGGAAUGCAUACUCUGGAGAUCAAGAAACCAUGUUAUUUUCCUUUUGUCCAAUUAAACGAGGAAAGCAUAAAUGCCCACAUUCUCUUUCGGAACAAUCUACCAUAACGAGUACUUUCUACGUUUUCUUCACAUCAAACUUUCAAACUUCCGAUCUUCCUCCUCAUUCAGGCAGAAAAGAAGAAAAGACUGAAUAAAAUCGAUAAAAGGAAACGAACCGAGCCACCAUUUAGAGAAACCAAUGUACAGAAAAGCCAAGGCAGAAACUCCCACCAUUUUGCAACUUAGUGGCCGCGUUCUUGAAGAAUGCCAGAACAGACCCGCGGUCAACCAAAGGCCGAGAAGCGACGGCGUUGCCGAACCGGUGGGGAGGCGGCCGAACCGGAGGAGGGGCGACCUCCGCCCGCGAGUCAAGAACCGGCCCGGCAGGCUCCGGGGUCGGCGUCGGGGUGACGAAAACUGUGUAAGGGCCCAUCUUGCCGAUCACUGGAGGAGGUUUAGGGUCGGAGGCCUUGCUGAUGGACAUUGUAGCAACGAGUUCCGGUGGAAGGACGCGGAAGAUGAAGGGCUUGUUUGGAUUUGAAGAGCAGGACCCUCGUGCAGAGAAAGACAGAGAGAGAGUUGAGAGCAAGAGCAACU